UCAUGUUUCAAAUUUGUUACAUAACGUUUACCAUAUGUGCAUGCUACAGGACUUGCAAACUUCAACACAAGUAUUUCUCAAAUUCACCACUACUCAACUAGCACAACUUUAAUAUCACUACCUCCAUAUCUCAAAACAAUCAUCAAGCAUCAAACUUCUCUUAGCAUUCAGCACACUCAUAAGAAAGUUUUUUACUAGUCUCGAAUACCUAACAUAUUAGGAUUAAUUUCCCAAUUUAAGCAAAUUACCAUGCUGUUUAAGACUCUCAAAAUAAAAUAAGUGAAGCAUGAGAGAAUAAUAGUUUCUAUAAAACAAAACCACCGCCGUGCUCUAAAAGAUAUAAGUGAAGCACUAGAGCAAAAACUAUACAGCUCAAAAGAUAUAAGUGAAGCGCAUAGAGUAUUCUAAUAAAUUACGAAUCAUGUGUGUCUCUCAUCAAAAGGUGUGUACAGCGAAGAUGAUUGUCGUAAACUAAAAAGCAAAACACAUAUCAUGUGGUGAAUAAAAAUAUAGCUACAAGUAAAGUUACCGAUGGAAGUAGACGAAAGAGGGGAUGCCUUCCGGGGCAUCCCCAAGAUUUGGCUUUUUGGUGUCCUUAGAUUAUAUUGGGGUGCCAUGGGCAUCCCCAAGCUUAGGCUCUUGCCACUCCUUGUUCCAUAAUCAAUCAAAUCUUUUACCCAAAACUUGAAAACUUCACAACACAAAACUCAACAGAAAAUCUCGUGAGCUCCGUUAGCAAAAGAAAACAAAACACCACUUCAAGGUACUGUAAUGAACUGAUUCUUUAUUUAUAUUGGUGUUAAAACUACUGUAUUCCAACUUCUAUAUGGUUUAUAAACUAUUUUACUAGCCAUAGAUUCAUCAAAAUAAGCAAACAACACACGAAAAACAGAAUCUGUCAAAAACAGAACAGUCUGUAGUAAUCUGUAACUAACGCAAACUUCUGGAACUCCAAAAAUUCAGUAAAAAUAGGAAGACCUAGAUAAUUUGUUUAUUGAUCGGCAGCAAUUGGAAUCAAUAUUUUAUCACGUUCUGGUGAUUUUUAACAAUUAUUUUCGUGAACAGAAAGUUUCUGGAAUUUUCAGCAAGAUCAAAUAACUAUCAUCCAAGAAGAUCCUAUAGGUUAAGCUUGGCACAAACACUAAUUAAAACAUAAAAACACAUCUAACCAGAGGAUAGAUCAAAGAUUUAUUCCUAAACAGAAGCAAAAAGCAAAAAAACUAAAAAUAAAAUUGGGUUGCCUCCCAACAAGCGCUAUCGUUUAACGCCCCUAGCUAGGCAUAAUAGCAAGGAUAGAUCUAGGUAUUGCCAUCUUUGGUAGGCAAUCCAUAAGUGGCUCUCAUAAUAGAUUCAUAAGGUAAUUUUAUUUUCUUUCUAGGGAAUUGUUCCAUGCCUUUCUUUAACGGAAAUUGGAAUCUAAUAUUCCCUUCCUUCAUAUCAAUAAUUGCACCAAUCGUUCUAAGAAAAGGUCUACCUAGAAUAAUAGGACAUGAAGGAUUGCAAUCUAUAUCAAGAACAAUAAAAUCUACGGGCACAUAAUUCCUAUUUGAAACAAUAAGAACAUCAUUAAUUCUUCCCAUAGGUUUCUUAAUGGUGGAAUCCGCAAGGUGUAAGUUUAGAGAGCAAUCGUCAAAAUCACGGAAACCUAGCAAAUCUCACAAAGUUUUUGGAAUCGUGGAAACACUAGCACCCAAAUCACACAAAGCAUAGCAUUCAUGAUCUUUAAUUUUAAUUUUAAUAGUAGGUUCCUAGUCAUCAUAAAGUUUUCUAGAGAUAGAAACUUCCAACUCAAGUUUUUCUUCAUAAGAUUGCAUCAAAGCAUCAACGAUAUGUUUAGUAAAAGCUUUAUGUUGACUAUAAGCAUGUGGAGAAUUCAGCACGGAUUGCAACAAGGAAAUAUAAUCUAUCAAAGAGCAAUUGUCAUAAUUAAAUUCCUUGAAAUCCAAAAUAGUGGGUUCAUUAAUAUAUAGAGUUUUGAUCUCUUCAAUCCCACUUUUACCAAUUUUACCAAUUCCUUGAAAAAGCAUUACGGAUUCUUUACACUCCCCCACGGGGUUCAUCUCGAUUCCUUGCAGGGAACAAAAUAAGGAGGUUUCUAGGAAUCAUAUCUACAGAUGUCGCCGUCGACGCCAUCAUCAACAGUGGGCCACGAGGGGCCGACGCCGACCCCAUCCAAAUCAAUGAUGACGACGAGCGGACGCUGCUGCUGGGCUCCGGCCACGGCGAGAGCUCGGGGGCACGUAGCUGUCGUCGCUCGUCUCCGGAGUCUCGUCUGGCUCAGGAGAGUUGCUGGACUCCCAUGCGUCGUCGUGCCGCUGGAGGAGCUGUCGGCGGGGCCAAGGGCGGGCCCAGUGCCGGCCACCACGCCGUCUUGGCGACCCCCUCCAGGGCAGCACUCCAGGCGACGGCCUUCCUCGUCGAAGACCUUGAAGAACAGCGUGGAGGCGCCGUCGUACUCAAAAUGGAUGGCGAGGGCCCCCUCCGCGCGGCAGGUGCAGGCGACCUUGCCCCAUCCACGGGUCAUGAAGAUCUUGCCCGGGGAAACAACCACGACCUCCGCUCCCGUCACCGGGGUGCUCCACUCGGCAUGCUGCAGCCACAGCUCGAGCAGCCCCCUCGGCGGGUAGCCUCCUCCUUCGGAGCCUUGUGCCUGGGCGUACAAGGGCAGCGGGUAGCCAGGGGAGGCCGCUCGUGCCAAGGCCUCGUCACCUCCUGCCUCACGACGACGUCGCAGGAGCGGGCCAACCUCUUCUUCGGCGGAAGUGGCCCCUGCUCUUCACGGGGGGUCUUUCCUUUCUCAGCGGCAGAGAAUCUCCUUAUCGGCGCCAUGGGUGUCGCAUCAAGACGGCGGAGCAAAGAGGAAGAAGAAGAAAUGGAUGGAGUGGAGGAGGAGAUGAGCAACGGGGGCUCCACCCUCUCCUCGUUUAUAGUCAGAGGGUGGCCAACCGCCGGCCACCACGAUCACAUGUAAUGAUAGUUUUUCCUCUGCAUGUAGCAGGGUCUCGUUGAGUCAAACGGUUGCCGAGGCAGCGUGGGGAUGCGGAGACGCCCAUGUCCCAUCAAUCGCCACGCGUCAAUCAAGGCCGCAGGCGGUUGGGGCCCGUGGCGCUCCGCACUUGCUCUUUAGCUUCGCCUCGAAGCCAAGUCCGAGCACGCCUUGGUCCCGGGGGCUACUGUCGGCGUUCUGGGACCGGGGGUGCCUAGACUUGCCUGCCUGCGGGCUUGUGCGUGGCUCCACCAACGGCCUGGUACGGCCCAUCUUCAGCAGCAACCACUCAAGACCCUCACGAGGGACCAAGGCUCGCGAGGUGGACGACACCAAGACCUCCUCAGGGGCAGCCUCACUAGGCUGGCUCCCGAGGGGCGAAGAUCUCUAUGCAAGGGGUACCUCGUGAGGUUCACGUGAUGUGAGCCAUGACGACCGAGGCCAGGCGGGCGCCAGCGGGCAUAGUGUACUAGUUUCCUCUUUGGUGAUAAAGAGGCAAGCGCAGGCAAGGAGUCCCGAGGCGUUAGGAAAAGGUUUCCAUAUCGGUGCAACAAGACCAAGGCCAGCAGGGCGGUAGGACGGAGGUCACUGCGGAGCCCACAGCAGCGUCACCACCAGAGCCUUUGGCAAGCGAAGACCACCUUUUGUCAGGAUAGCUUGUACUAUUUGUCCCCCUUCAAACUUGGCCAUUGUGGGAUCCCUUCCCGCCUAAAAUUUGGGAAGAGGACCAGGGCCUCUAUAAAUAGGACAUUGCCACCACCGUAGCAGGGGACAGAUCAUUCAGGUCACCCUCACACCCACCAGCUCAUAGAGCUCAAGAACACCUCCCCUCAGGAGGUUGUUCAUCCGCUGUACUAGUUCAUCCUCAGCCCCUCGAGGCAAUCCACCCACAAACUAGAGUAGGGUAUUACACUGCAAGGUGGCUCGAACCAGUAUAAACCCUCGUGUCUCUUGUUCCUUGGGUUCGUCGAGCUAGGCCGUGAGAUCGUUGAGCGGGCGAGCUAGGAGGAGAGUGUUCUUCGUGCGCACCCCAGAGUUCGAACCUCAAGGGUUUGUCGGAACCCACGAUCCGACAAAAACUAUGGCCCCCGGGUCUAUUUUUAUCAUAUUAUUUUCAGAUCUAUAAAAUCAAAACACAAAAAUAUCUUGCUACAAUUUAUUUACCUUUAUCUUAUUUUGCACUUUUACUUAUGUUUUAUAUCUAUCACUAUCAGAUCUCAUCCUUGCAAGUAACCGUGAAGGGAUUGACAACCCCUUUGUCGUGUUGGGUUCAAGUAUUUGUUUGUUUGUGUAGGUGCAAUCGUUGGUGACUUAUGUGUUCCUCCUACUGGAUUGAUACCUUGGUUCUUAACUCAGGGAAAUACUUAUCUCUACUUUGCUGCAUCACCCUUUCCUCUUCAAGGGAAAAAACAACGCAAGCUCAAGAGGUAGUAGGAAGGAUUUCUGGCGCCAUUGCCGGGGAGGAUCUACAUCAAGUCUACCAAGUACCUAUCAUAAACUCUCAUCUCUUUUAUUUACAUUAUUUGCCAUUUGCCUCUCGUUUUCAUCUCCCCCACUUUUAAAACAUUUUUAGAAAAACACAAAAAUAUUUGUGUUUUUUCGUAUGCCUUUUUGCUUCUUUGCUAUCUUUGCUUGUGUCGCCAUGUGCCUUCUAUUUGCUUCCAUCUUUGCUUGCUAAAAGUCUAUUGUUAUGGAUCUUCAUCCACUUGCUAAUCUUUUUAAAAGAUCCAACUAUGAUGAACUAAUUGCUAGUGAGUUGAGUGCACUAGAUUAUCUUUAUGAAGUUUUCCUUGAAAUUCAUGAAUCUGAAAAUUGUGAUGAAGUGCUAAAAGAGGAAAUUUAUGAAGUGAUUCACGAUAGCUCCUUUAAUGAAAAGCAUGAUUGCAAUGGUGUUAUUAUAAAUUCUAUUAAUGUCAAUUAUGCUAAUAAUAUGCAAAACCCCAAGCAAAGUACAUGAAACUUGUUGUACAACCUUAAGGUUGGACCAGAAAAGGGUUGAGGGUUGAGGGGCCUAAGUGAAAAAGUUCUUGAGAGGUUUGGGUGCUUCUCUUGUGUUUUGCACUAAGGUAGCUACUAUGUCAGAAUCAAGUCCAUAUUUUGCACUAAGCUUAUGAAAAACAUCUGUUUCUACAAAAGACUUAACACAAUCAUAUUCAAGAUUCAUACCUGACUCAUUACCUUUAUAGAUCUCCCAAUCUGCAGAAUUACGUUUUAUUCUUGAAUUCAAUACUUCUUUUUGAGAAAAACCAAUAGAAGAAGAAUCAAACACCGUUCUACCAUUAUGAGAAAGCCAAGCAUAAAAAGUUUUGAAUAAUCAUCCCUUGGGAGCUCAUGAUUGGGGCAUUUGAGCAUCAUAUCUUUAAGCUUUCCCCAAGCUUGAGCUAUACUUUCUCCUUCACGAGGCCAAAAAUUAUAUAUAAAAUUCCGAUCACGAUGAACUAAGUGCAUAGGAUAAUUUUUUUGAUGGAGUUCCAGCUUCUGUCUGUUCUAGUCUCAUGUUUAGGGUUCAACCAAUAGCCUAUACCAUGACAAUGCUCUUCCCUCCAAAGAUAAAGGGAAUAAUAUUUUCUUAGCUCCAUCCCCUGGUAAACCAGCAAGCUUAAACAAUCUACAAAUUUCAUCUAUCACUAGUACAGCGAGCUCCUAAACAAAUGGUUUUUAAUCCCUUUCCGCGACGACAUUUGGAACCGUCGCCAAGUGAGUGUGGGCGAUAGGGGGGUCCUUCCCACACGACCCAGAAACCAUCGGGGAUAUGCCCUCCUGGCACACAUGUUCGGCAAAAUGAGGUCGUGUGCGACCGGCGAGCGCUCAAAUACAGAAAUACGUAUAGUAGAGCUAAAAAUACAAUUAUACGGCGAAAUUGUUUCCGGUCGCAAGUACAUCCCACACAGUCAGUCCCCGCUAAAUGUUUCCAUUCAUAUGUACAUCCCACACAGUCGGUCCAUGGAAGAAACUGUGUGGCAAAGGCUGUCCAUCACACACAGUUUUCAUGUGGUAAACGUUUGCGCAAGGUGGCCUAACGCAAACAGUUUUCAAGAGAAAGUCGUGUGUGAUUGUUCAUUGAUCCAACACGGUUUAUUCCUAGAAACUGUGUGCGUUGCCUGAGGUCAUCGCCCACGGUAUUUUUUCAACAAUCGUUUGCAAUAGCAAAACCCAAUUAGCAGGCUAAUUAUCCGAUUAUUCAUAAUCCAUUUAUUAAUCUAAUUUACAGUUCAUAUUAAGCACAUAAUAUAUUUCAUUUUCAUAAUUGAAAUACAUCAGAGUACAACAUCAUAUAGCUUCAGCACUCAGCUACCCCAUUACACAACUACACCAGGACCAAGUUUCACAUGCAACAUCUAUAACCUUUCGAAAUUAGCAUCAUAGACGGUACAUAGACAGAUGUAUCUAACCUGGAAAACUACUGAAGCAGAAGGCGAAUAUUUAGCCUUCAUUGAUGUUGAAGGUCUUUGUAACUUUAGGCCAGUGCCUGUGGAUGAUUGACCGUCCAUCCUUCGUCCUCUUCAGGAACACUUCAAUAUUGAACCGUGGGUGUUGUAUGAAUACCUUCCUCGCCUCCUAACCAUACAGGUGGUUUGAGAGGUAAUCAUCAGUGAACUGCUUUGGAAAGGCCUGAAAACAAGGAUGUGCAUAAAUAUCUUCUCUAUAUUGGAAAUGGGGCAAAGGAAUAAAAAAGGCAAGGUAUAAUAGUUAGUACCAUCCUAUAGUGAACUGAUGUCUUCUUCAUUGUGCAGACAAAGAUCUUGUUGUUUUUUGUCGCUAAUUUCUUUAUCCUAACAAUCUUUCUGAGUUUCUUGACUUGACUGAUAUUCAUGGACAACUCAUUUCCCCAUAUGCAAAAAGGGUCGAACAGUGGGUCAAAACCUCUGACAGCAGGACCUACAUGUGCAAAACCAAAUUGUUAAAAACCUAAAUAUUAGAAUGGUUCCUGCAAUUGCACAAUAAUGUGCUAUUAGACAACGGACCAUGCACGUGCUAACCUCGAUUGUAAACCUCAGUGCUUCCCAUUGUUUCCCUGCAACACAUAUAAGGUAGUUAGUCAUCAUGUUAAGUAAGGGUUCGCAUGCUAUCAGUAAAAUAUGUUGAUGAAAAAUAAUCACAUUGCACAUUCAUCAGAUUAAUUGAAGCCACACGGAAAACCCAUUUAUCCAAACCAAGCAUGAUUAAGAACUAGGAAAUAUAGCACUUGUAUAUGUUUCUCAUGUAUUAAGUGCAGCCAAAUUUGAUUUAUUCGUCACAUGCACAACAAUACAAAAUUCUACCCACGACAAUUGGACAUCGCAUUGCAGAAUUGAACCAAGCAGUUAACUAAACACCACAACAAAUGAACCAAACAUUAACUGAGCACCACAUUGCACAAUAUAACAUACUCCUAAUAGAAGAUCGGACAGUUAACUACAGCCAAUUGUAGCAGUUGUAUUUGUUUCUCAUGUAUUUACUACAGCCAAAUUCAAUCUAUUCCUCACAUGGUAUACAAUAACAGAAUGCACCCACAAUUUUGUAAAGAUAAAUUCGAUUUAUUUCUCACAUGGAAGAAAAUACAAAAUUGCAGCCUGGAGAAUUGAACAUCACAUUUGCAGAAUUGAACCAAAUAGUUAACUAAAGACGACAACUAAUUAACAAAACAUUUAAUAAGUGGGCACCACACUGCAUGACAUAUAGAACAUAUAUACUAGAGCAACAGAUUGCAUGGUAAAAUUAGAUAGCACAAUUCACUAGAAUUUGUGAAGGAAAGGCAGGUGCAGCACACGCAAUGGGUAAACCGAGCAUGCUUAACCGGCGUAGCUAGCAAAUGGCAAGGUGCUACUUCAAGAUCUGGGGGUCGGCACGAAUGGCAGCCAUCACGACCUCAUCCGCGCGUGCGGCCGUGAUUUGCUUCUCCACUGCCAAAUGCUCCUUGAGGUCCUGGCUAUACUACGUGCACCAUGGCUUAGGCCAGCGCUUAUUUGGUGGAGGGGUCGGUGAUUUGGGUGGAAGGUGUCGCGCUCGCACCGGCGGUAUUGGCAUGUGGGAUGUGGAAGGAGGAGGAGGAUGGGGGUCUGGUGUGGAUUACUUGCCUGGAUAGGCGAGGACGAGGAGCGUGAAGGAGGGUCGUCGGCGAGGAGGCGGCGGCGCUGCAAGCAAGGAGUGAAGGUUUUAACUUGAAAAGGAAGGCGGAAAGAGGGGAAAUGUGCCUUUUCGUAAGGGGGAGGGGCGGGAAGGUAGAUAUUUCCGCGGAAGCCGAAAAUUUGGAAUCGCUUCAGCCAAAAAACUGGCGCGCAAAGUGUCAUCAGACACGGUCCCUUAUUCAGACACGGUCCCAAGAUAUUUUGUGCUGCAUCUCACACGGUUGGUUAUAAUAAACUGUGUGGGAUCUACUUGAUUUUUUGUCUUGAUUUGAAUUACAUAAUGGGGUCACAGUGGGCAUGGACGGUGUUUGAAUUGCUAGAGCUUUUAUCUGCAGUGAUCAUAAAAGAAUUGAAAUUAUUCAGGGUUUGUUUGGACAUUUUUAUGCAUUAAGUGAGUUUUCAAUGCAUUUAUGUGCAUAAUUCAAAUUUGAAAUACAUGCGCAUGCUCCAGUGCAUAUAAAUUGGUUGAAAAAUAAAAUCUGUGUCCUUUGGUGCAUGCUUAGGUCCCAUGCAAGAAAUGAGAAUGAAUUUCAAACACCAUGGCACCGUUGAUUGUCGGCAAAACAUUGAGAUGUCUGGUUUUUAAAUUCUAGUAAAUCCAAAACUUGUCUGAAAUUCAUGAAACUUGGCAUGCUAUCAUGGAGCGGCAUCAACAUGCAGUGGUACAAAUUUUUUCCCAUUUGGGGCAGAUUUGGGUAUAUGCUUCUCACAAACCGGAGCUUCUCACAACAAGCAUGAUGGUUUUCGGUAGGGAACGUCCCACCUUUGGGGACGAAACGAUAUCCGUUGCCUCUUAUUGCUUUCAAAAAAAUUUCUCGUGUCAACAUAGAACAACAGGAGUGUUGUGUGAAUUUUUGUGAUUUUUCAGGGUUCGUUUGGAUAUUUUUAUGCAUUAACUGAGUUUUCAAUGCAUUUAUGUGCAUAAUUCAAAUUUGAACUACAUGCGCAUGCUCCAGUGCAUAUAAAUUGGUUGAAAAUCAAAUCUGUGUCCUUGGGUGCAUGCUUAGGUCCCAUGCAAGAAAUGGGAAUGAAUUUCAAACACCAGGGCACCGUUGAUUGCCGGCAAAACAUUGAGAUGCCUAGUUUUUAAAUUCUAGUGCAUCCAAAACUCGUCUGAAAUUCAUGAAACUUGGGAUGCUAUCAUGGAGCGGCAUCAACAUGUCGUGGUACAAAUUUUGUCCCAUUUGGGGUAGGUUUGGGUAUAUGCUUCUCAUAAACGGAGCUUCUCACAACAAGCAUGAUGGUUUUCGGUAGGGAACGUCCCACCUUUGGGGACGAAACGAUAUACAUUGCCUCUUAUUGCUUUCAAUUUUUUUCUCGUGUCAACAUAGAACAACAGGAGUGUUGUGUGAAUUUUUGUGAUUUUUUUGGGUUCGUUUGGACAUUUUUAUGCAUUAACUGAGUUUUCAAUGCAAUUAUGUGCAUAAUUCAAAUUUGAACUACAUGCACAUGCUCCUGUGCAUAUAAAUUGGUUGAAAAUCAAAUCUGUGUCCUUGGGUGCAUACUUAGGUCACAUGCAAGAAAUGGAAUGAAUUUCAAACACCAGGGCACCGUUGAUUGCCGGCAAAACAGUGAGAUGCCUGGUUUUAAAAUUCUAGUAAAUCCAAAACUCGUCUGAAAUUCAUGAAACUUGGCAUGCUAUCAUGGAGCGGCAUCAACAUGCUGUGGUACCAAUUUUGUCCCAUUUGGGGGCAGGUUUGGGUAUAUGCUUCUCACAAACCGGAGCUUCUCACAACAAGCAUGAUGGUUUUCGGUAGGGAACGUCCCACCUUUGGGGACGAAACGAUAUCCAUUGCCUCUUAUUGCUUUCAAUUUUUUUUCUCGUGUCAACAUAGAACAACAGGAGUGUUGUGUGGGUUUUUGUGAUUUUUCGGGGUUCGUUUGGAUAUUUUUAUGCAGUAACUGAGUUUUCAAUGCAUUUAUGUGCAUAAUUUAAAUUUGAACUAUAUGCACAUGCUCCAGUGCAUAUAAAUUGGUUGAAAAAUCAAAUUUGUGUCCUUGGGUGCAUGCUUAGGUCACAUGCAAGAAAUGGGAAUGAAUUUCAAACACCAGGGCACUGUUGAUUGCCGGCAAAACAUUGAGAUGCCUGGUUUUUAAAUUCUAGUAAAUCCAAAAUUCUGUUAACCAUUGAAGUGACGCCACGUGUCUUGGUUUUAAUGGCUGUAGGAGGUGCCGUGCAGACAGCUGCUUGACCUUGACUGAACGGGAGGCGUGCGAGCGCCGUCCAGUGCAUAGGCUGACCGAGAGGCGUGCAAGCUCUCCUCGAGUGUGCAGGCUCACCAGGAAGCAUGUGAGUUGUAUGUUGCGCAGGCUCACUGGGAAGCGAGCCCUUUGACUUCCAUGGCUGCCCGCCUUGCUCGCAUCCUCUCCAUUAAUGGCGCCCAAGCCGCAGUUUAAUUCGCUUUUUAAAUAUAAAACACUCAUCGCAAACGUUUUAGUUAGAACACCCGUAUGCAAAUUGACAGCUUCCCCAGGAAGCCAAGAGAAAAUGUGCCGAGCAGGAUUUUUGCAGCUCUUGAUCGCAAACGAUUUAGAUAGAACACCCGUAUGCAAAGUGAGAGCAGCGCGGAAUUUGUUCAUCCCUUCAACGCAAACGGUUGUUUUGGAUGACCCGUGUGCAACCACGUACAAACAAUUUGGUAAGAUUUGCAUCUGUCAUAUUGGGUAUGUUGCCAUUUGUCAAACUAGAAAGAUUUACAUUUGUUGAUCUGGUAACGUUGCCAUUUGUCAAUCCUUGUAACACUGCGAUUUGUCAAAAUAUGCAGCUAGAAAUCAUUAGCACUAUGUAAUUUUUGCAACUAAAAUUCAGUAAUUAAGUAUAGAUUUCAUUCAUAGAUUAAGCAGUCGUUCUUAAUUUAUACAAACAGUUCAACUCGACAGCUGAACCGGCCAAACUUCUCCCCAAUUGUUGCCAACCACGUACUGAAAUAGCUAGUUCAACUAUAUAUACUAGAUAAUUUUAAGUACAUUGUACAGUUCGACCACACAUCUAUAGUCAGAUGAACUGAACAAAAUAGCCCCUAAAUAUUACUACUACCACGGAGGGGCUUUGUGCUACUUCCGGCAGCCUCUCCUCUGCCGAGCGCGCUCAGUAAGAGGCAGAGGAGGACGAGGAGCCUACCGACGAGCUAGGCAAAUGCAAUACGGUGCCUGUCGCUGCUGCAUGUUCAGCGACGCUCGCCAGCUCGAACGCCCACUGCCGCUCCAGACCAUCCCUCUCGAAGUGGCUGGACUGCUCAUAGAUCUCCUGAUUCCUCGCCUCUGCGUCGGCGUGUGCUGCGGCCACGGCUGCGGUAUGGCUCUUUGCGUGCUCGACGAGGCGCUCCUCCUCCCCUGUAGGAACUCGAUGUAGCGCGCAAGGUCGCUGACGCACGUCCGGGCCUCCACCUCCGCCUCCCUCCUUCGGGCGGCGGUGGCGGAGAGGGUGAUGAUCCCGGCGGUCGACGAUGGGCUAGCGGCCACGGUGGCCGACGAUGGGGUGGCGGCCACGACCACCACCUCCCGCCAUCGGGCCGCGGUGGCGGAGCGGGUGAUGGCCACGGUGGCCGGCAGUGGGGUGGCGGCCACGAUGGCCACCUCCCGCCUUCGGGCCGCGGCGGCGGAGCAGGAGAAGGCCCUAGCUUUCGACGGUGGUGUGGUGGCAACGGCGGCCGGCAACAUGUGCCGACGGGCAGUGGCGGCGGAGCAUGUGGUGGGUGUUCCGCGCACACCCAACACGCGCACUACACUACGCCGGGGACUGCGCCGCCGCGGUGUAGCCUCCCAGCUGGAGCUGUCCUCUGAUGACGGCGGAAUGGUUGAGCGUUGACGACGGACCGGUGCCAUUGGCGAUUGUGGGAGAAGCAGACGAGAUAAGCUACAGGGAGGGAGGGGAAAAUGCGACACGGGACUUGCCGGCCGUGAGGGUUUUUAUAGCAGGCCGGCAAGCAUUGGCAUUUUGGGGGAUUUCAUCAAGUCGGGCGGGAAGCUUGCACGGGAACCUGCAAGGUUGCGUGGGAACGGGCUCACCGACGAUUCAUUGGCGCCACCGUUUGGCCAAAAGAACGCCCCCGCUGCCGCAGAGCUUGCGCUAUAAGCCGUCUGCGGCAGCGGGGUGACAAGACGUGCGAGAGGAGGACGAGAGGACACGUACACAUACAGUUAAUAAAAAAUUGUUUGCGAUUUAAUUACCUGCUAUACCCCCGUCCUGGUUUAUAAGUAGGAUUUAACUAAUAAAAUACGAAUGCAUGUCGCCAUAGAUUAUAUCGUUGGAGUCGUAUUUGAACAUAGUUUCCAGCUAUACAAUUUUUGUAACAUGCAUUAACACUUUUUUGGUUAAAUUUAAGGUUAUACACCAGCAAGCAUUUGCCCGCAACACACACGGCUUAUUCCAUCACAAACAGCUCGGAUGGAUCAACUAUGUGCCACGUAUCGCACAUGCAACUCUAAUCUGAUUCGUGCUUGAUGUCUCCAACAUCGCUCGCACAGUUCGUCUUAUUUGCCACGUAUCACUGUGUCGUCCUCUGCUCGCGUCCCUCGGCAAGCUCUGCUCACCGUUAGGCACCGCAGCGCGCUGUGCUCGCCGUUAGGCGCCGCGGCGUGCUCUGUCACGUCCGUUGGCGCGCUCUGCUCGCGUCCGUCGGUGCGUUCGGCUUGUGGACAACUUUUCCUUGAGCCGACCGCGGAGCGCUCUGCUCGCGUCCCUCCGCGCGCGCUCUGCCAGCGGUUGGGCGUGCGCACGAUCACGUCGGGGGCCCCAUAUGCAUGCGGUUGCGUCGCGCGCGUUUCCACGCGAUGUAGUUACGUGCGGCACGAUAGAGUUACGCGCUGCAAAUUAGAACUGCCAUCAGGGCCUGCCGAUAUUCCUGGCCGUUCGGCUUCCCCUUUAAUUCCUGCGGCCAUUAUAACCUUAGUCUCUUCAACCUUCCGAUCGCGCCCCACAACACAACAAGCACACCCACGAUGACACAUAGAGAGCGGAUGUCCAGCGGCGCUCCAAUGGAGUUCGGCGAGCAUAGAGUGGAGAACCACGCGAGGGAGACGGAUCUCUCGGUGGUGUACACCUUCGACCCGACCAUGGUGGACAACUACAUCAACAGUGUUGAGCAGUUGCUUGCUCGAGACAAGUACAAGGUGGUCGGCAUCGACCUCCAGUACACCGUCGGUCGUCCCGGCAUAGAUCAGAAGGUUGUCGUCGCCCAGUUGUGCGUGCGCCAUCAUGUCCUCAUCUACCACUACUACAUGUCCACAGAGCCUUGCGACCGUUUUAACAGGUUUGUCAACAGCACCGACUACAAGUUCGCCACGGUGGAAACCAAAGACGAUGUAAAAGCGCUCAGUGUUACGGGCUUGGCCUGCAAGAACCUUGUCGAAAUCCGUGAGCACUAUAGGGUCUGGGGCAGCACGAAGCAGGACUCCUUGGUCGAACUUGCCUCGGCCAUCAUCGACCCCUACUACGAAAAGAUGAAGCAGGAUGCCCAGAGAACAAGUCCCAUAUCCUGGAACGGGGCCUGGAUGCGGCAACUAGAUGAACCUCACCUCAGGUUUGCGGCCAAGAGCGUGUACACAUGCUACGAGAUGCACAGGCGGAUCAUUGACAUGCGGAAGUGCCUCGUUACCCAAAUCGACGAGCCCGGAUCGAGCCACAAGCAGAGCAAGCGUCACAAGAAGUAGAUGAUGAUCAGAUGGUCGUUUAUGCUAGUUAAUCAUGCAUGUAAUAUAUAGUUUACUUUAUUGGUGUGUGUAGAAAUGUCAUGUGUGUAGUAGCCACCUAUGUAAUUAUGCAUGUAAUAGUUUACUUUGGGGUGUGCAAAUGCCAUGGUUGUACUAGCCACCUAUGUAAGUGGAUGUUUAAUUUGGUUAUGCAAGCAUGUCCUUAUAAGUGUGUGUAUAUAUAUAUAUGUUGUUGUUCUAUAUGCAAUCCCAUCGCACAACACACACGUCUUAUUAGCAGCAACCGUCUGUUUUAUUAUCGGUCUUCACAGACAUUUCUGAUUACAGACCUGUGUGCCGCGUAUCACACACAUCUUGUUAAGUUGAACCGUUUCUGUUCUCAUGUCUCAACGCAAACAGUUCAUCCGAGUGAAUCGCAUGCCAUAUAUCGCACACACCUUGAUCUGGCUGACCAUUUCUUUUGUGUUGCCUAAUCACAAACAGUUUAUCCGAGUGAACCGCAUGCUGUGUAUCGCACACGCCUUCAUCUGGCUGCCCAUUUCUUUUGUUCCUCCUCGUCACAAAUAGUUAAUUGAACUGAACUGUAUGCCCUUCAUCGCACACGCAACUAAAACCUGAAUCGUGUUUGAUGCAUCCGUCAUCGCAAACAUUUUACACAUUUCUGACGGUUUUCAUACAGUACCGUUUGCGAUUAUUGCAUCGCACACAGUUUCUCGAAGGGUCUCUGAUCGUAGUGUCGCGUUAGCAGCAUCCUGCAGUAGUGUAUAUAGAUUAAGUACACAUCAUGAUGUAUUGUUCCGUCUCCUGUACAAGUUUAGCAUGCAAUUUUUCCAUUACCAAAAGGGAUUUCAUAAUAAACAUUUUUAGUAGGUUGAGGAGCCUCACAAAGGAUUAUCUUCCAUAAUGACAAAUGAAGAUAAAAUUCUGCAUGUAAUAUAAAUAUUUCCUUACUAAAUCCCUCUUACCAAAAGCGCUUCACUCCCCGGCAACGGUGCCAUAAAAGAGUCUUGAUAACCCACAAGUAUAUGGGAUCAAUCGUAGUCCUUUCGAUAAGUAAGAGUGUCGAACCCAAUGGGGAACAUAAGGAAUUGAUAAUUGUUUUCAGCAUGGUAUUCUCUGCAAGUUCUGUAAAGUAGUAGUAACAGAUAAUUUGAUAGCAAGUAACAAGUUACCAAAGUAACAAGGUGCGGCAAGAUGGCCCAAUCCUUUUAUUGCAAAGGACAAGCCGAAAGUACUUAUAGUGCAAAGCGUUCUUGAGGACACAUGGGAAUUUCAUCUAGUCAUGUUCAUCAUGGUUCAUCGACUAGCGUUCACUAUUUUGAUAAAUUGUUAUGUGGGUGGACCAAUGCUAGGGUGUUGUUCUUACUUGAACAAACAACCCACUUAUGAUUACCCCCUCUUGCAAGCAUCCGCAACUACGAGAGAAGAAUUAAGAUAAAUCUAACCGUAGCAUGAAACAUAUGGAUCCAAAUCAGCCCCUUGCAGAAUAGUGCAUAAAGUAGGGUUUAAGCUUCUAUCACUCUCGCAACCCAUCAUCUACUUACUAAUCUGACAAUGCCUUCCCCAAGGCCCAAGCAUGGUAAUGUGUCAUGUAGUCGAUGUUCACAUGACACCACUAGAGGAAGAACAACAUAACACAUCAUUAAAAUAUUGAACGGAAAUCAACUUCACAUGGAUAUCCUAUAACAAGACUUCUCCCAUGUCCUCAAGAACAAACAGAACUACUCACAGAUCAUAUUCAUGUUCAUGAUCAGAGGAGAAUAAUAUAUGAUUAACAAUAUGAACAUAUGAUCUUCCACCAAAUAAACCAACUAGCAUUUACUACAAGAUGUAAUCAACACUACUAGUAACCCACAUGUACCAAUUUGAGGUUUUGGACAAAGAUUGAAUACAAGAAAUGAACUAGGGUUCGGAUAUGAGAUGGUUUUGGUGAAGAUGUUGAUGAANNNNNNNNNNNNNNNNNNNNNNNNNNNNNNNNNNNNNNNNNNNNNNNNNNNNNNNNNNNNNNNNNNNNNNNNNNNNNNNNNNNNNNNNNNNNNNNNNNNNNNNNNNNNNNNNNNNNNNNNNNNNNNNNNNNNNNNNNNNNNNNNNNNNNNNNNNNNNNNNNNNNNNNNNNNNNNNNNNNNNNNNNNNNNNNNNNNNNNNNNNNNNNNNNNNNNNUAGUGGAAUCCUUCCGCCAGAGAGCAAAAGUGCUCAUGCCAGGUUCCGUCUCGAUACGGCGGGGCUUCGUCCCGAAAGUAUUCUCUUGAUAUUUUUUUCCUACUGGUGGAACCACGAGCUCAAGUGGCGCGCCCCAGAGGGUCGGCGCGCCACCUGAGCUUAUGGCUCACUGGUGGGUCUCCUCUUGGAAUUUCUUCUUCCAGUAUUUUUUAUAUAUUCUAAAAUAAAUCUCCGUCAAAUUUCAGGUCAUUUGGAUCUACGGAGAAUAGCUAUCUCUGUUGUAGCUCUUUUCAUGUCAGAAUUCCAAUUGUUAGCAAUCUCCCUCUUGUGAUGAAACUUGCAAAUUAAGGGAGAAAAUGCAUUAAAAUUACACCUAAAAGUGAAACAUAGCUUUAAAAAUGGACGUAUCAGGCCUCUAGGCUCAUGUGGCCGCCCGCUAAUAUGCUUUAGCCUAUUGGGAAGGGGGGGCUGCCCAUGGUGCCUAGAAUAAUCCAAGGGGCUCCCGAUAAUUCUUCGAACCCUCCUAUAUUAUCAUUAGGUCUCUGGAACUUUUUCAACCUCCCGGUUUAACCCAAUUUUCUCUGAAGUGCUUUCGUUUUCCCUGAAACAAUUUCUCUUUUCUCUCGAAACAAUGUCUGUAAUCUCUGAAACUUUUCUGGUGAUAUUUUCUCAAACUCCUAACUCCAAUAGAACUCAGUAGAUCAUAAAACCUUAAGCGUGUGACCCUGCAGGUUCGGUGAAAUAUGGACACGAAAAUACUUUUCAUUCAAUGAUCAAUAGCGAAAGCCUGGACAUCCAUAUUGACUCCUAUACUCAGAUGAAUGAUAUUUGAGUGAACCUUUGGUUAUGAUAGAUAUUCUUUUUUCUUCAAGAUACUAUACAAAACACAAGGUGAGAUAUAUCGGCAUUGUUGUGGGUCAAACACAUUGUCACUAUGCCAGUCUCCUCGUUGCCGAUUUUGUUCUUUUUUCUCGUUCUCGUGUUUUGUCAUCCCCGUGAGCAAUUAACGAUGUGUCUGGCGAGACAAUGAGAGAUGUCGUCACACCGAGAGGGCCCUAAGAAUAUCUCUCCAUCGUUGGAUGAACAAAUCUCAGUCUCGAGUUGUCUAGCUCCUUGUCAUAUGUUUUCGAUAAACACGUAAGUUGCUGUUAUGAUCAUCCUGUUACGAAUGGCGUUGAAACAACCCCAAAGUGUAUCUUCCAGUAUGGAGUGACUCAAUAUUCUCAUGGUAUAAGAAAUUGUGCAUACGUUAACAUACCUGUUAUGGAUUAUAGACUUGCUACGGAAUCAUUUGCAAGUAUAACAUACAACUUCGGUCAAUUCAACACGAGUGGUCUUCUAACAUCGUGCCCUCAAUUUUGCUGGCGUCCUCAUUACAAUUGAACUCAUGACCAUGAUCAAGAAAACGAAACCAUCAUGGAACAUCUGAGCUAGUCCUAGAGGCAAAAUCUAUAUUACCAUUUAUUAUUCUACAUGUGCAUAUCAGUUUUCCUCUAAGCCUCAUGGUUAUCGCAAACUCAAGAGUCAUAGCAGUUAGAUCAUCGUAAACAUUUAAUUAUAAAGUUGGAAAUAAAUAAUAAACUUAUUAUUGUCUCUAGAGCAUAUUCCCAACAUGAACGUUUGCGUCUGAACUGUGUUAAAUUUAAAAAGUAAUCCCACCAAGCACCUAGAAACCAAAUGAUAAUUUGAAGGGUCAGAAAGAUAUGACAAGCAAACUACCCUCAUGGAUCCUUUGAUUCAAAGGAUUUUCAUACAAAUUUUGGAGUAUUAGAAUUCUUAGGAUUUGUUUCCUAUAUUGGUUGUUUGAUUCAUAGGAUUGAAUCCUAUAAAAAAAUUCUAAGGAUUUCUUUGUACUACUUUCUAUAGGAUUUGUAGCAUUCAGUCAAACAUCUUUAAAAGAAACCUUUGUUUUUCCUAUGAUGCAAUCAAACAAUCCAAAUCCUAUAGGAUUGAGAUGGACAUGCCAUUUCAAUCCUAUAUUUUUCUUAUUCCCGUGUUUUUUAAAUCCUGAGAAUCAAAGAGGUCCUAAAGAUGCCCAUAGGAAGGAAAGAGGUAAACAUGCGUUUAACAACUUGAGAGAAGAUAUGAGAUGUGGCGAGCUGCCGCGAAAGACGUCGAAUGGCAUCGAUCCCGGCGUAUUGGGCGGCGGGCAACCAGAUCAGGCGCGCUGAUGCUUGCCAAUAUGGAUUAGUAGAAUAGAAUAGAUAAUGCCUGAUGCCUGAUUUUCGCAACAACAACAAAAUGCCUGAUGCCUGAUGCCUGAUGCGAUGCGGCGUGUUUGGUUAGGAACUUAGGACAGAAGCCCUCUCGCGUGAUCUAUCUUCAGAUUCAGAUUCCGAUUCCUCUAGGGUGGAACUCGUACUAGACCGUCCGUCUUGCACUGUUGCACACGUACACACGAUCCACUUGCCGUUGCCGCAUGUGAGCCGUGGAUCCGCUGUGUGUGUCCCUUGCUAAUCCAAAAUUAUUCGUUAGGGGGUAGAAUUACUACUAACCAGCGCAAAGUAGGAGUAGAAUGUGAUAAACCAAAAGCAUAAGGUAUUCAGGGGAAGUUCAGGAUUACUAUUUAUUUUUAGAAUCUUUCAAGAAUACCAUUAGCUGGCACCCAUCAAUGACAGAGACUUGCAGAUUCGCGCCUAUGUAACCUCAUUAGGGAGCAAUUCGCCUUAACACACUACACAUCUAUUAACAAACCCUCCAGCUAGUUGACCUAAUUAGCUGAUCAUAAACUAUACUGCUGUGCAUGCAUCUGUCACCAAUUAUUGAUCAACCAAGUGAUCUGAAAGUCAUACCUACCUACGUAGUACGUGGGGUGGGGCUUGAAAGCCAUGAAGAAUUCAACUCAUCAGCUAAUAAUAGUUCUUGGCGUCUUCUAGCAAAAUUUUAAACAUUUAAUGAAAUCCUUUAUGACAAGGCCAGUAGAUACUAGAUCUGCGCUGUAGCCUCGUAGAAAUUUGCAAAAGCUCAACCAAUCCUUGUACUUGUACUGCAAAAUAAUUAUUUUCUUUGAAGCUGUCAGCUUCAGCAUAGCUCAUACAUACCUCAGAAUUUCUUAACAACGAGGAAAGAUGGUUGGAAUUGGCAUCUGAGGCCAAUUAGUUAAUUAUAAACUAAAUGUGGUUUGUUAAAAUAACGAUGAUAAUAAAUGAGGUAGAGAAUCGGUUGUACAGAGGCAGAAGAUAUUUGUCAAUACUGCGUACUUGUGUGGAACCCGGAUGUUUGAGUACCAAUACUGUGUGCUCUGCAUCUGGGUGGCAGAUCUUGAACGAAAUCCGUAAUCAUUCUUCAUCACACGACUACUUGGACGACUACAAUGAGCCAUCGUCACAACUCACAAGUAGGAAAAUGGCCGAUGUCCCGGUAGUACCAAUUUGAGAUCAGCCCAAUGAUUUUAUCCGUAGGAGUGCACAGGACAAUGGCUGUGUGCAUCAGUGGCGGUGGGUCAUCCUGCAUUUCGAUUUUCUUUACACAAAACAGCUUCGUUGCAGUAGUCGCAUUGGAUGCAUAGUCCAGACCACUUGCCUCGGUGGGAGAUGCUAUUCCUGAUAGCAUAGAGCAGUUCCUGAAAUUGUAGGACUGCAAAGUUGCUGAACGGAAUACGGAGCACCUCGCUGGCGCGUGAUCAACACGCGCAUUCGAUCAUAGGUCGGUUGAUCGCGUUCCUCCGUCCAUCCAUCUGCAAUUCUAGACAUCAUCUAUCUCUCCGGCAUACCUUCUGAGAAGACGAAACAAAGCAGCCAUUGACCACUCAGGGCCAGGGCAAGGAGGGAGGGAGGCGACGGGGACGUGGAAGCGUGGCCUCGCAUUUUUAACGAGAGCGACGUGCCGUCGGCCGUUGCUCUCAGGCUCCGUAAUCCAUCGGCCGGGAUUCUGCACCGAUCGAUGGCGAAACCCUCUGCGCGGCUACCCGACUUGCCAAAGGUCACAGCUGCAAGAGAAUGAUUUGGUGCAUCGAUAAUUGAUUGAUCGUGCACUAGGCACAUAUAUAUAGGUACAAGGAGUGUGACCGGUAUCUUCUCUUAAGAUACACGUAUAUACAGAGGGAGACAGAUACUACAGGUACUGCAUACAGAAUCCAGACCUACGUACAUGUACACAUGUUCAACACCCCCCCCCCCGGCAGUUGAAGCGUCGCCGGUGACGCAAAGACUGGACCGAAAGCCCUCGAAAGUCGAGGUGGGUAGUCCCUUCGUCAUCACAUCGGCGAACUGCUGAUCGGUGGGCACAUGUAGAACACGAACACGGCCAAGUGCGACGUGCUCCCGGACGAAGUGGAUGUCGAGCUCAAUGUGCUUCGUCUGUCGGUGAUGGACAGGGUUGGCAGCGAGGUACACCACGGAGACGUUAUCACAGUAGACGAGCGUCGCCUUGGUGACCUCACAUAGCAACUCCUGGAGUAGCUGUCGUAGCCAGGAACACUCCGCGACGGCGUUGGCCACGGCCCGAUACUCGGCCUCGGCGCUCGAUCGUGAGACCGUGGGUUGUCGUUUAGACGACCACGAAAUCAGAGAGGGCCCGAGGUAGACGCAGUAGCCGGAAGUGGAGCGUCGAGUGUCGGGACACCCAGCCCAGUCGGCGUCGGAGUAGGCGACAAGGCUGGUGUCUGGCGAGGCCGUCAGGGUGAGACCCAUGGCUGUGGUGCCACGUAUGUACCGAAGUAUACGUUUCACGAGAGCCCAAUGGGUGUCACGAGGAGCAUGCAUGUGAAGGCACACCUGCUGGACAGCAUACUGAAUGUCCGGACGCGUCAGUGUGAGGUACUGAAGCGCACCAACGAUGGAGCGUUAGAAGGGAGCGUCGGACGCCGGAGAGCCCUCGACGGCGGACACCUUAGCCUUCGUAUCGACAGGCGUGAAAGCAGGCUUGCAGUUAAGCAUGCCCGCUCGCUCCAGAAGCUCGUAGGCGUACUUCUGCUGGUGCAGGAAGAAGCCAGUAGCCCGGCGCACUACCUCGAUACCGAGGAAGUAGUGGAGAGCCCCCAAGUCCUUGAGGGCGAACUCUAUGCCAAGGCGAGCUAUGAUCUGCUGAAGAAGCGCUGGCAAGGACGCGGUCAGGAUGAUGUCGUCGACGUACAGUAGGAGGUACGCGGUGGCGGGGCCAUGGUGGUAGACAAACAGGGAGGCAUCGGACCGUGCGGACCGGAACCCCUGUUGCUGGAGGAAGGCCGCGAUCCGCUGGUACCAGGCCCGAGGUGCCUGCUUCAACCCAUAGAAAGAACGGGAGAGCAAGCACACGUGGUCCGGAUAGUCGGUGUCGACGAAACCAGUCGGCUGCUGACAGAACACCUGCUCGUCGAGAUGGCCAUGCAAGAAAGCAUUAGACACAUCGAGCUAGUAGACAGGCCAAGCGCGAGAAACAGCAAGCUGGAGAACAGCGCGAAGCGUGCCCGGUUUAACAACCGGGGGGAAGGUGUCGGUGAAGUCCACGCCGGCGCGCUGGCGAAAGCCGCGCACCACCCAACGCGCCUUGUAGCGCUCGAGAGAACCGUUGGGGCGAGUCUUGUGGCGGAAGACCCACUUGCCAGUGAUGACAUUGGCACGGGGUGGCCGCGGAACAAGCUGCCACGUACGGUUGCGCUGCAGGGCGUCAAACUCCUCACGCAUCACAGCUAGCCAGUUCGGAUCCCGAAGGGCUGCGCGAGCGGAGGUGGGAAGCGGGGGCGGCGUCGAGGUAGAAGCCGCGCAUGCGUACUCAUCCGACGAAUAGCGCGUGCUGGGACGCAAGGUCCCAGUCCGAGCCCGAGUGACCACACCGGUGAGGGGUGCGGCCACGGCGACGGGAGCCGCCAAGGGAGCCGCGGCGGGGCCGGACGAGGGGGCCACGGCGACGGGGGCCGCGGCGUCGGGGCCGCGACGGGGGCCGCGGCGGGGGCGGCUGAGGAGGCCGCUGCGUCGGGGGCCGCUGCAGGGGCCGCAGCGCCAGGGGCCGCCGGCGUGGGGAGCGCGGGCAGGGCCGAACCCGGGGCGCGGCUGGGCGGUCCACCAGAGGUGGAGGCAGGGACGAACCGCGCCACAGGAGACUCCGAGGGUGACGGUACCUGCUGAAACGGGAACACGAGCUCAUCCAAGUACACAUGCCGCGAAGUGAAAACACGGUGGGAGACUGGAUCAUAGCACCGGUAACCUUUGGUGUUGGGAGGAUAGCCAAGGAAGAUGCAAGGAAGUGACCGGGGCGCGAGUUUGUGAGGAGCAGUGGACGCGGUGCUAGGAUAACAGAGACACCCGAAAAUGCAAAGACCAUCAUAAGAUGAAACCGCACCAAAGAGGAGCUAGUGAGGGGUGUAGUUCCAGCGGGAACGACAGGGGCGAAUGUUAAUGAGGAGGCUGGCGGUCGCGAGCGCGUCUGGCCAGAACCGAGCAGGCACGUAGGAGUGGAAGAGCAACGUGCGGACACAGUCAUUAAGCGUGCGAAGGACGCGCUCGGCGCGACCAUUCUGCUGAGACGUGUAGGGGCAAGUGAGGCAAAAGAUGGUGCCGUGGGCCGCAAGUAAAUUGCGGACGGUGACGUUGUCAAACUCCUUGCCGUUGUCAGUUUGCAAGGCGAGAAUAGGACGACCGAACUGUGUGGUGACAUAUGAAUAAAAAGCGGUGAGUGUGGCAAGAGCGUCGGACUUGCGACGGAGAGGGAAGGUCCACACAUAAUGAGUAAAAUCAUCCAAUAUCACCAGAUAGUAUAAAUAGCCCGUGUUGCUAGCAACCGGGGACGUCCAAACAUCACUAUGCAAUAACUGAAACGGAAAGGUGUGGAAAUGUUUGUAGACUCGCUAAAGGGAAGACGAACGUGCUUGCCUAGACAGCAAGCCUCACAAGUGUGAUCGUCGACCUUAUUACAUGAGAAGGAAAAACUCUGAAGAAUCUGACGCAUAACGGUGGAGUUGGGAUGACCGAGACGGGCAUGCCAAAGAUCGACACUGGCGGCGAAGGCGGCGGGGCGACGAAUGGUGGUCGCGCCGGAGGGAUGCACUGGGUAAAGCUCGCCCGGGCUAUCACAUCGGUGGAGCACCAUCCGUGUACGGGCGUCCUUCACAGAAAAACCGAUAUCGUCAAAUUCAACAGUUAUAGGAUUCUCACGAGCAAGGCGACGAACGGAAACAAGAUUAGUGACUAAGUCAGGAGACACAAGAACAUUAGACAUAUGCACAGGAGUGGAAGUAGAAGGAAAAGCCAUAUGGCCAACGUGAGUAAUGGGUAGGGAGGAACCGUUACCAACGGUGAUACGGGUGGGAGUAUGAACGGGAGUGGCAGAUGUGAGGUUACCGGGAUGAGCAGUCAUGUGAGCAGUGGCGCCCGAGUCCAUGUACCAGUCACCACCGCCACCAUAUGAGCUCGGUGACGGGGCGGAGUGCAGUGCAGCGAGCAAGGCCGGGUCCCACGGCGGCGGCACCUGAGGAGGGUAGAACCCUCCGUAGGCCGGCGCGGGAGCAGCCCCGAAGGCCGAAGCAGGGGCGGCGCCGUAGGCGGGCGCGGCCCCAUAGGCCAGCGCGGCGGCGGCGCCAUAGGCCGGCGCAGACCCGUAGGCGGGCGCCGGCGGGGGGGCACCAUAGCCGCUGUAGGGAGCGGCGUUCUGCGCGGCGAAGAGGGCCUGGUGACCCGCCGGGCGGGGCCCAAGGAUGCCCGGAGCCGGAGCCCGAGGGACCGACAUGGUGUACGCAUGGNNNNNNNNNNCCACCUGGCUGCUGGGGGGCAGCGGGAGGGGCGGGAGGCGCGGGCGGGAGGGGGAAGUACCCCGGAGGCGCUGGUGGCGGCGGCUGCUGGCGCGGCGCAGGUGGGGCGGUUGGUGGAGGGGCGCCGCGGGAGGUGCCGGCCGCGAGGGCGUGGUGCUGCACACGCUUCUUGACCCCAUUCAUCCGGCGCUCCUCCAACCUCAAGUACGCAACAAACUUGGGGAAGGAGGGCUCCGGCAUCAAGGUGAGGUUAGAGGCGGCGUUGCCGAGGCCCGCGGUGAGCGUGCUGAGGAGGAGGUCGUCGUCCACCUUGGCUCCAAUGUCACGGAGCUCAUCCGCCAACGUCUUCAGGCGGCGGCAGUAGUCAUCAAUGAACUGUUCAUCCUGGUGACAGUCAAAAAAUUCCUGCUGCAAAAAUACGCAGCGCUGAAGCUUGUUGUCGGUGAAGAGGCCGUCCAGCUUGACCCACAUGGCGCGGGCGUCGUCGCCGGCGCUCACGACCGUGUGGAACAAGUCCUUGGAGAUGGUGGUGAAGAACCACCGGAUGAUCGUGGCGUCGAUCGCGGUCCACUCGGCGUUGUCACCAUGGCGCGGGAGUCCACGGUGCCAUCCACGUGAUCCACGAGAUUGUUCUCGCGGAAGAGCAGCGUGAAGUACAUCUUUCACGCGAAGUACUCCCUCCGUAAACUAAUAUAAGAGUGUUUAGAUGACUACUUUAGUGAUCUAAACGCUCUUAUAUUAGUUUACAGAGGGAGUACGUGGAGUUGGAGGUGUCGAGGAUCACGGGGACGCGUGCAUGGACGUUGAUGUCGCGGAUCUCGACAGGGUUGACGGCGAAGGGGUUGGCGUAGGUGGAGGCGUUGGAUGACAUGACGAUGAGAUCGUGGGGAGGGAGGCAGGCGGUGCGGCGGGAAGGGGCGGCGCGGCGNNNNNNNNNNNNNNNNNNNNNNNNNNNNNNNNNNNNNNNNNNNNNNNNNNNNNNNNNNNNNNNNNNNNNNNNNNNNNNNNNNNNNNNNNNNNNNNNNNNNNNNNNNNNNNNNNNNNNNNNNNNNNNNNNNNNNNNNNNNNNNNNNNNNNNNNNNNNNNNNNNNNNNNNNNNNNNNNNNNNNNNNNNNNNNNNNNNNNNNNNNNNNNNNNNNNNNNNNNNNNNNNNNNNNNNNNNNNNNNNNNNNNNNNNNNNNNNNNNNNNNNNNNNNNNNNNNNNNNNNNNNNNNNNNNNNNNNNNNNNNNNNNNNNNNNNNNNNNNNNNNNNNNNNNNNNNNNNNNNNNNNNNNNNNNNNNNNNNNNNNNNNNNNNNNNNNNNNNNNNNNNNNNNNNNNNNNNNNNNNNNNNNNNNNNNNNNNNNNNNNNNNNNNNNNNNNNNNNNNNNNNNNNNNNNNNNNNNNNNNNNNNNNNNNNNNNNNNNNNNNNNNNNNNNNNNNNNNNNNNNNNNNNNNNNNNNNNNNNNNNNNNNNNNNNNNNNNNNNNNNNNNNNNNNNNNNNNNNNNNNNNNNNNNNNNNNNNNNNNNNNNNNNNNNNNNNNNNNNNNNNNNNNNNNNNNNNNNNNNNNNNNNNNNNNNNNNNNNNNNNNNNNNNNNNNNNNNNNNNNNCGGGGAGGAGGGGUGGUGGCGGCGGCUUGGGGCGGCGGCGGCGGCGGGAGGUCGCGGCGGCGGCGGCGGCCCGAGGCGGCGGCUAGGGUUAGCGGAAGCUGAAAGAUCGACUUGCGAUAGAUAUCAUGUAGAGCAUGAUUUGGUGCAUCGAUAAUUGAUGGAUCGUGCACUAGGCGCAUAUAUAUAGGUACAAGGGGUGCGACCGAUAUCUUGUCUCCUAAGAUACACGUAUAUACAGAGAAAGACAAAUACUACAGGUACUGCAUACGGAAUCCAGACCUACGUAUAUGUACACAUGUCCAACAACAGUAAACAUAAACUGCCUCGGCGGAACAGCCAGGGCAACGUCAGGUAUCGGAGAGGGACUGGCGGGCCGGCGCCCCGCAAAUUGGAGGCAAGCAGCGGCACAAAAGUUUUCUUUUUUUAGGAUUGGGCACAAAAGAUUUAGGAAUGGUGGUCACCGUCUGUCUGUCUUUGCGGUGUCACAAAAGAUUUAAGACCUGCAAAUCCGGAAGACGUGUGCCGCGCGUCAGUACAUGCUGCUUGUACCACUGUCUUCUUGCACACCUCAGGAGUAUUGGUUAUGCAGCUAUAGCUCAACGGCUCAAUGUUUAGUGCACAAGAAAAGAAUGAAAGCUUUGAGCUGCAGUCCUGUGAUUCAAACAGUUCGAGAAUUCACAUGUUCAGUGUGAAUGUCAAAAAUGGUCGGGUCUACGCUUGUUUGCGAAUUGCUGGUGGUUAAAGGAAUGAUGCCCCACCAAUGUCAUUGCAGGGGGUCGUUACUGCAAAAUCUUAACGAGAUGUGAUGCUCUGUUAAUGAUCAAUAAUGUAACAGGAGAUAUUUUUGUGGCUACAAAGAUCCAAGUGGAAGAGUGGUGGUAUGACAAAUUUUGCUUUCUUUCCAUCAGAUCUGCUACACUUCACUUGCCCACUGGUGCACUGAAAGGUUGCCUAAUUUUAGGGGCCGUUAUACCUUGUCAUGUCAUACUAGCUAGUUGGAGGGCCAGGGCCAAAUGUGCGUACCUGCAUUCGCUCAGCCUAACCUAAAAGAGCAUAUACGGUAAUUAGAAAACUCAUGUGAUUUAAGUAGUGACGGCCGACUCAGAUAGUCAUAAGUAGUAGCUUAGUUUAAGCAGUACUGUAUUUCAUGAGAUUGUGUGUGUGUCCCCCAUCACACUAAUCUAUCCUUCGAAGACCACAGUUGCAUAUGCGUACUUGUUUUAACGAGGGGUUACAAUAUCUGAAAGUUACGUUUGCCGGUUCAAGCAGAAUGUCCUGCCAUACUUGAACACUUCAGGCAGGGUGUGGCAAAUCCUGAUUUUCUUCUCCUCUGUGUACAAUCAUGGAUUUCUCCUUUGUGGAGUGGAGAGGUUGUACGAGGGUUGCCUGUCACUCUGAAUUCCCGGCGGCAUGCAUUUCAGAAGUACUUAGUCAAGCUCAGCACAGCAACGUUCAGAGUUGCGUGAGCAGACACUGAUUGUCCAGCGAUUCUCUGAAAUGCCUCCGAUGCUACAACUAUUGCGAUACCGAGCAGUACUACGAAGGGAGCCUAUGAUCAUAGCUCACCCCGGGCAUAAAAACCGAAGACCGAAAACCGAACCCGAAAAGACCGAGACCGAACCCGAAAAGACCGAACUAAAAAAGACCGAAUAAACUUUGGUCUGCAAAACUACAUGACCGAAUUUAAUACGGUCAAAUCGGUCCUCUACCCUGCAGGACCGAAAAGACCAUAUAGACCGAUCUAUUUUAAAAGCCCACACGCACAACAAUGUUUACCUAAGGCCCAACUGGCUAGCCCAAUCCUCACGAGCGAGACACUACCUCACCUCCUCCCGACGAGCGACACAAAGGCACGAACCGCAGCCUCACUCUCGUUCCUCCCCCUUCUCUGCCAAUGACCAACCCUAGCCGCCGCUAAGAGACCAGGCCCCGUGACGACCGCCUCCCCAAGGAGCGCUCCGAUCCGCGGCCGUGACCGGUGAGAUCCGCGCCGAUCCGCUGCCGUGACCGGUGACGACCGCCCGGCAACCCAACCUCCCGUACAUCGCUCCACAGCCUGCGAAUCGCCAUCCGCCAGUGGUGCUUCAGAUCCCUUCCCCUUCCACGCUGCUGCACUGGCGUCAAUCCGUCGCCACUGUCUCUUCCAAGCUGGCUGCCGCCUACUCUCCUUUUCCGGUGCUUUACCUCACAGCUGAAGCUUGAAGAUGAGCAAGUGACUCUUAUGUAUGUGCAUGAGUGCAUCAGAUCGGCCAAUAAUGCCUAAGUGCAGAGCCUUGUGUCAUGUCCAGAUUAUUGAAUGUGUGUGUACCUAUGUUAACACAUACUUAUGUAUGUGCAAAGCUAUAUUGUUCAGAAUUUGUGAUGUUAGCCUGUUACAUACUUUUGUUGUCUAACACUUGUCUAAUUUUUCUUAUACACACACGCACCUCUAUACAUACAUUUGUUGUCUCAAUUUUGCAUAAAUAAAUAUGUACAGAUACUGGAAGUAAUGUAUAUGAAUCUGAGUUGUGUCACUAAAUUUGGUCUGUUUGGUCGGGACCGAACAUUGGUAUGUAAAGACCAAAGACCGAAUAGUGGAAAAUCGAAAAGACCGAAAUUAUUUCGGUCUUCAAUUAUGGAAGACCGAAUUCUUGAAAGACCGAAAAGACCGAACCGAACAAACCGAAAAGACCGAACGCCCAGGCUGAAUCAUAGCAGUGUCAGUGCAUUACUUUUUUACGGGCAGUGCUUAGUGUUUGUGGAGCUUUCCGCUGAAGGGCGAGUUCACAGAACGAUAACGUUCCAUCCGCGAGAAAGGACGGCACGUUGGAGGAAGAAAAGCUGGCAGUCGGCACAGAUCCCUCCAACCCGACAGACAAAAACAUUCCCUGUACGCGACACCAUAACCACAUCUCCGAUUGAAACUGCAGAUGCAGUAGCACGUCCAGUCGCGCGGUCACAGCCCCCCGUUUAGCACAUGAUUUGAUUCCAGAGAAAAGAAGCGAUCCAUCUUGUUUUUGUGUCGUCUCUGUCUCUGCACACACAGAUCAUAUCAAUGGAUGCCCCCUCCCGCAUCAGCUGUGACCUUCACUUUCCCAAAGACAAUUCCUUCCACAGUGCAUUUUUUUUACGGAACCACACAGUGCAUUUUUUUUCAGAAGAGGCAUAAGAUUUGCCUCAUCAAUUAAAUAAGGAGAGAAUAGAGUUUAGAGUUUUACAACACCCACAAGUACGGCAUGGCAAUUACUCGCCCACAACAAUAUCUCCUAAUUUCUUUGCGCCCCCGGUCAUCCAAAGCUUGGCCUCGUCGAGGAUGGCGGUGAGAAGGAUGGUCGUUGGCGCACUCUUAUGACGAAACAUCCGUGCAUUUCUUUCAUUCCAAAUGCUCCAGGAGACAAGCAUGGUGAGAGAGGCCAUAGCUUGCUGGUUGGGGUUGCGAUUGUCGGUUCCCUUGUCCCACCAUUCGUAGACGGGUUCAUCUAUGUGCCACUCGGAUGUAUCUAUGUGCGCGAGACUAAGCCUCUCAAUGAGAGACUUCCAUACCUGAAUUGUAAAGCGGCACUUGAAGAAAAUGUGGGCACUCGUUUCUUGCUCCCUAUUGCAAAGUUUGCAAAGGCCACAAUUUGGCCAACCUCGUCGCUGUAAACGAUCGGCGGUCCAAAUCCUAUCUUGUAUUGCCAACCACGCAAAGAAUUUAACCUUUGGAGGUGCCCAUGCCUUCCAAACCAUACGGUCUAAGGGGGAAAGAGUCAAGCCUAGAAAUUGAGCCUUGUACGCAGUGGCCGCCGUGUAUAUCCCGUCGUUCGCGUGCUUCCAGAUGAUGGUAUCUUCGGUUUGCUCAUGAAGGUGGACAUCAUUCAGGAGCAUCCAAAGAGUGAAAAAUUUCCGAAUGUGGGCGGCAGUUACAACCGCGACUUGGUUGAUCUUGAGUAUCAAGCGUUCCCCUUGAGAGCCUCACAGACCUUCCAACUCUUUCUUUUCGAGGCCUCGAAGAUGAGCAGUGCAAUAUCCUUAGGUUUGCGACCAAGGAGCCACGGGGAGUCCCAAAAAGGCGUUUUGGCGCCAUCUCCCACUGUGAUAGUCGUAGAAGCAUAGAAAAACUCGAAAUCCUCGACGGUGCAGGGGUUUCCUAGGCCAACCCAUAAUUUGCGGGGCUCGUUCCAUUCAUACCACAACCACCGAAGCCGCAAAGCACGCGCGAAUUUGUCAGUGUUGAGCACCCCCAGGCCACCGUAUUCUUUUGGUCUACAAACCACCUUCCAGUUGACCUUGCAUUUGGCUCCCGUUGUCUUGUCCGCACCAGACCAAAGGAAAGCCCUCUCGAUUUUGUUAAGGCUAUCGAGGGAGCCCUGAGGCACGACGAGGGGCGUGAUGGAGAACACCGCUUGGGAGGAGAUGACCGACCUAACAAGAGUCGUACGACCGAUGGAAGUGAUGUUUUGGCCCUCCCAGGAAACCAAUUUUCCGGACGCCUUAUCCUCAAGGUAUUGGAAAUCCAUCUUCUUAACUUGCCAAACUGAAAGUGGGAGGCCUAGGUAUUUGAUCGAAAAAAGCGGUCUGUGUUGCCGGCAUGCUCUGAAGGAUUUGCUCAAGGUCAAGGUGGUUGCAACGAAUAGGCACAACCGAGCUUUUUUGGAAGUUGGAGCAAAGGCCCGUCACGUCCCCAAAGCCUCUCAGGAUAGAGGUGAGAUUGUCGAUGCCCCGUUUGAUGGGAACCAUAAAGACCGCCCCAUCGUCCGUAUAGAGGGAGCUACGCACCAUGGACCCACGACCACGGAUCUUGUGGAGGAGCCCUUUCCUCGUCACCAUGUCAAGGAUCUUAUGCAAGGGUCAAUCGCAAGGAUGAAGAGGAGGGGGGGAAUGGGGUCCCCCUGACGGAAUCCGCGACCAUGCUUGACCGGUGGGCCGGGCAACCCAUUUAACAUAAUCCGGGAUGAUGAAGAUGAUAACAGCGCGGCAAUCCAAGCCCGAAAUUUUGGGGGGAAUCCCAACGGUUGGAGAAGCUUGAGGCAGUAUCCCCACUUGACUGAGUCGAGUGCCUUCUUUAUAUCAAGCUUGAAGAGGAGAGCGGGCGUUUUGCAUUUGUGUAGACGUCGGGCGAAAUUCCGAACAUACAUGAAGUUGUCGUGGAUACUUCGCCUUUUGAUGAAUGCACUCUAGGCGUUGGAAACAAGAUCAUCCAUGUGGUGGGGGGGGGGGGCAAGUCGAAGUGAGAGAAUCUUGGCAAUGAUUUUAGCGACGGCGUGGAUGAGACUAAUGGGUCUAUAAUCAGAGAUCUCUUCCAUGCCAUCCUUUUUUGGCAGUAGAACCACAUUGGCAGAAUUUAGCCACCGAAGGUUGGAGGUGUGCAAUGAAUCGAAGCAUUGGAUGACCCUCGUGAUCGAAAUCUUGAUGAUUCCCCAACACUUCUUGAAGAACGUCCACGUGAAUCCAUCCGGACCCGGCGCCUUAUCGUUUGGCAUCUCCUUUAUAGCCUCCCAAACCUCCUCCUCGGUGAUGGCGGAGUCGAGGUCUUGCAAAGCAUGGCUCUCGAUGCCCAAUUCCUCACAGUUGAAGUCGUUGUUGCUUGUGCUUGCCCGACCCAUGACCUCGGAGAAGUGGUUGUGGAUGAUCUUCUCCUUUUCCUUGUGCUCGGUCACCCAACCCUGUGCAUGCUUUAAUCGGUGAAUGUUGUUUUUUCGCCUACGUGCAUUGAUGCGGCGGUAGAAGAAUUUGGUGUUGGCAUCACCCUCCCUCAUAUUUGUCAACCUAGCACAUUGGUGUUUUCGAGCCCGCUCAAGGACCGCCAAGCUAACCACUCUUCGCUUGAGUCUAGCACGUAGGUCCUGUUCCGCCGGGGAAAGGGUCCUACUCUCCUGCGCAAUAUCCAAAUGGAGGAUCACAAGGUGAGCCGCAUGAAGUUGGAUCUUGGCCUUGGAGAAAAAUUUCUUGCUCCACUUAGUAAGUCGUAUCGCGGUUUGACAGAACGUGUGGGUGCAAUAAUCGACGCGAGCUGCAAGUGCUGGACGUGGGAAGCACGGUCGUCAUUGUAGCACUUUGUUGUACUCCCUCUGUAAACUUUUUUUAGGGUUUUCUGUAAAUUAAUAUAAGAGCGUUUAGAUUAUUAAAAUAGUAAUCUAAAUGUUGUUAUAUUAGUUUACGGAGGGAGUAAUCCUUGUGACCCUUCUGAUCGAUGUUAACAAAUCUCGUGCAUUCCUCUGUGAUGACACACGAGAGAGCAUGGUGGUCAACUGGAGAAGUCAUAUGAUCAGUGCCCGACAGCUAUGUGUCGACCAUACCGAUUCAUAAUAAAAAUCACCUGCAUGCGACCAUAGUGGGCUGGCCAAUUUAAUUCGCCCGGUCGCUGCUCCUCAUAAUUGUCGCGCUCUUUUCCUUUUCCUUUCAUUUUUCAUUGGUUUUCUUUGGGUCAUUUCUAUCUUUUUACUAUGAUUUUUUAAAUUGUUUUCUUUCUUCGCUUUUGAAUUUUUGUUUCUUUGUUUCUUUUUUGUUUUCUUUGGUUCCUUUUCGUUUCUUUGUUGGCUUUUUAUCGGGUUUCUUUCUUUUGAACACAUGUAUACUUUCUCUCGGUACAAAAUGUACAUUUUUAGGGCAUGCAUGAAAUACUUUUUGAUACGCGUUGGACAUUUUUCAAAUAUACAUGGCAUAUAUUUUUUAAUACAUGAUUGAACACUUUUUUGAAUACAUUGUUUUAUAAAUAUAUGUCGUACAUUUUCAAAUGAAAAUAAAGGUUUUUUUCCAAAUACACCAAAAUUUUAUUUACAUUGUAUAAACAUUUUAUAAAUUUUCACGGACAUUUUUGGGAAACAUACAAAUUUUUAUUAAGUGCCAUGAUACAUUUUUAAUGGAAAUAAAUAUUUUUCUAACCAAUGCUAACAUUUCUUUACAUUUUUAUAAAAUAGUUUUUUAAGUUUCACGAUUUUUAGCAUUAAAUAUUUCCAUCAAAUGUGAUGUACAUUUAUUAAUGGCACGAAACCUUUUUUUACAUUAUGAAAAUAUUUUUCGUACACAGGAUUAACAUUUUUCAGACACAUAAUUAAUAUUUUGUAUUUUUUGAUUCACAUUGUACAUUUUUAGUAUACAUCAAAAACAAAUUUUAUAUACAUGUUUAACAUUUUUCAAAUGCAAGACUAGCAUUUUUCAAACAAAUGGUUUUUGUACCAUACAUAUAUUUUAAAUAUUUUGAAAUAUAAAUAGAAGUUUAAAAAUAAAUCAAAUAAAUAGAAACAAAAAUGCGAAUAAAAGACGGAAGAGAAAAUCUCGACAUGACACCAUGGCUAUUGGGCGGUCCAAUACUUGCUCCCUGUAGGCGAGCCCUGGUAGGACUCGUGCGGGCGGCACCGGAACUCCUAUAUGGCGCGCCACGCGCUGGGAAAUCCCAUAUGGGGCCGGCACUCCGCCUUUUUUUUCCGUCUUUUCCUUUUCGUUUUUUCUUCUUUUUUUCAAUAAUUCAGGAUAUCAAACAGCUUACAAAUUUCAGUAAAAUUUGCAAUUUUGAAAAAAAACAAUCAUGAUUUCGAAAAAAUAAAUAUUAUUUUAAAAAUAUGCUCGGGAAUUCAAAAAAUGUUCAUGAAUUUGUAAAAAAAUGUUCACAAAUUUAAAAAAUGUACACGAAUUUUAAACAAUGUUCAUGAUUUCAAAACAAGUUCAUGCAUUAGCGAAAUGUUCACAAAUUUGCAAAAAAUGUUCACAAAUGGAAAUAAUGUUCACGAAUCUAAAAAAUGUUCAUGAUUUCAAAGAAAGUUCAUGCAUUCGCGAAAUGUUCACGAAUUUGCCAAAAAUAUUCAUGAUUACAAAAAAUUGUCUUGAAUUUAAGAUAAUGUUCAUGGUUCAAAAAAUGUUCGUGAAUUCGAAAAAAUGUUCACGUAUUUGUAACAAAUGUUCAUGAUUCCAAAGGAAUGAAGUUUUUUUGAAUUUGACGAACAUAUUUUGAACAUCGAUGAACAAAUUUGGCAUUUGAUGAACAUUUUUUUAAUUUGAAGAACAAAAUUUGUGUUAGAGAAUUUUUUUGGAAAAAAUUAUGAGCAAAAUUUGCAUUCGAUGAACAUUAUUUUGAAAAAUUGAUGAACACAUUUUUAAUUCAGUGAACAAAUUUUGAAUGUAAUGAACAUUUUUUGAAUCUGAUGAACAAAAAAUUCAAUGAAAAAAAAAAGAAACCGAUGAACAAUUUUUUAGUUUUAUGAACAACUUUUGAAUUUUUAUGAACAUUUUUUAAAUCUAAUGAACAAAAAAUUGAAUUGGAUGAACCUUUUUUACAUUGUUGAACAUUUUUUUGCAUGGUUGAACAUUUUUUGAAUUCGAUGAACAAAAAAAGUUGUUAACGAAUUCGAAAUAAAAAAUGCCAAAAUUAGUCAAAAAGUGAAGAAGAAGAAGAAGAAAAUAGGAAAAAGCGAAAGAAAAAACGAAAAAUGAAAAUGAAAUAAAAAAUUCAAAAUAACAGAAAAACAAAGAAAAACCGGUUCUAGGAAGGUUUUAGAACGUUCCCAAAACCAGCAGAACUAGAGAAAGGGAAGAGAACUGGGCCGGCCCGAUAACGAAAGGAACGACGCAGGGGAGGUACACGCUACGAUGUUACGCGGCGACCUACGCGCCAUAUAGGAACCCCGGGGCAGCACAUAGCCACGCCCUGAUCAAUGACCCACUGGUGGAGUUACAACAAGGCCGAAUGGGUCAUAGCCCACCUGGUUAAUGAAACUUUGUACACUAUACAUCUAUUCUUGGGCUUUGAAACAACAUCCUACGACCUAUUUGCUUCUGUUUGGCCCAUCCAGAUUUGGGCGCAAUCUCCGCCAUAUUGCAGUGACCUUGUGUAGACUCUACAUGUUUGAGGUCAUCAUUACCUGAAGAAAGCGCGUGCAAGAGUGUGGGGACCUAUUAACUGAUUUGGGCUUGCUAAAAAGAAGAGAAAUCGGGAUCCUAUACACACCAUGGUAUACCAAUCAUCUUAUCAUUGGUCACUACAUUUUCUUCAGACACUGACUGGGCGUGUUUAUUUCAAACCUCUAACUGUAUUUGCACCCAACACGCUUCUGAAAAUUUUCCUUUGUACUUCAGACAUUUUGUCGAACAGAUCGCGUGCACUGUGAGAGCACACACAGAGCACGCUUGGACGCCGCACGACUAAACGGACAACGUGCGCGCGCCAGAGCAGCCUUGCAGCCGAGAGGGCAUGAGCUCGGUGAUGGGAAUCGUUGCAUGGAAAACAAAACAAAAUUCCUACAAGAUGACGAAUUCACCCAAGAUCUAAUCUACUAGAUGCUAGCAAUGAGUGGGAGAGAGUCUACAUACCCUUGUAGACCGAGAACGGAAAUGUUCUAACGAACGUGAUUGGUAUAGUCGUACUUUAUUCGCGAUCCAAUCCGAUCAAGCACCGUGGGAACGGCACCUCCGAGAUAUGCACACGUAUGGCUCGGCGACGUUUCUUUCUUCUUGAUCCAGCAAGAAAGAGGAAGAGGUAGAUGGGAUCUAGGCCAGCAACACAACGACAUGGUGGUGGAGUUAUGGUGGAACUCCUAGAGGGCUUCGCCAAGCGUCUGCGGAGAGGUACAAGCUCAUGUUGGAUGCGCAAAAGGAGAUGAUGAAGUGGGAUCGAAAGAGGGCAGAGAAGAAGCUCGAAAUUGAGAGGGAGAAGAUCGAGUUGGAGAAGCAGGAGGCGGCGGUCAAAUGGGAACUCGAGAAGGCCAAGACAUUUGGCGAGAUAGAGCUUGAGAAGGAGAGGUUGUAACUCGCACGGGACGCAGAGGAUGCGAAGAUCAUGUUGGCGGACGAAACCCUCUAUCAACGACCGUAGGGAGUACGACAGCGACAACGAAUCAUGAGGCCCGGAUGCAGGUGGAGCAGGACGAGCAGGACGCAUUCCGCUCGGAGCAGGCGUCCGACCAAUGAUCCGAAGCCAUCCGCCAUGCUUGGCCAGUGAUCCGAAGCCAUCUGUCAUGCUUGGACAUUGAUUUCAUUUUGGCAUGUCCGGUUUAUUGAACUAUGAUUUGCUUUACUUUGUUUUGAACUGUUGAAUUCGGAUAAUUUGUAUCGUAUGAUCGACGUGCAUGGAUUGCAUGGAUUUGAUGAUCGGUAUCUAAGGUAUGUGGAUGUGGGGCGCGAUAUAUGAGAGGCCAGCGGGCGCUGUCUGCAGAUGCGCUCGCGGGCGUAUAGGGGGGCGAAUUUGUCAAGUCCUGGUGUAGAUGCUCUAACCAACUUGGUUCGGACCUAGACUUUCACCACAAAGGUUGAGACCAUGCUUGAAUAGCAGCACCAUCGAAGUCACAUAUGUGUUGUCGCCACCAUUUUUUCACGAUCUUAAUAGCUAUACGUGAUGUGAGACCGCCCCGCUGCCAGCCAUCCCUCGCACCAAUCUGCCGUCCAUAGCUUGCAUUGUUGGGGAAUGUAGUAAUUUCAAAACAAUUCCUACGCACACACAGGAUCAUGGUGAUGCAUAGCAACGAGAGGGGAGAGUGUGUCCACGUACCCUCGUAGAUCAAAAGCGGAAGCGUUAGCACAACGCGGUUGAUGUAGUCGUACGUCUUCACGAUCCGACCGAUCAAGUACCGAACGUACGGCACCUCCGAGUUCAGCGCACGAUCAGCUCGAUGACGUCCCUCGAACUCCGAUCCAGCCGAGCUUUAAGGGAGAGUUCCGUCAGCACGACGGCGUGGUGAUGGUGAUGAUGAUGCUACUGACACAAGGCUUCGCCUAAGCACCGCUAUGAUAUUAUCGAGGUGGAAUAUGGUGGAGGGGGGCACCGCACACGGCUAAGAGAUCAAGAGAUCAAUUGUUGUGUCUCCAAGGGGUGCCCUCCUCCCCGUAUAUAAAGGAGUGGAGGAGGGGGAGGGGGCCGGCCACCCUAGGCGCGCCCCAUGAGGAGUCCUACUCCCACCGGGAGUAGGACACCCCCCUUCCAAGUGGGAGUAGGAGAGGAGAGGGAAGGAGAGAGAUGGGGAGAGGAAAGGGGGGCGCCGCCCCCCCUCCUUGUCCAAUUCGGACUGGGGGAGGGGCGCGCGGCUGCCCUUGGCCGCCCCUCCUCUUCUCCACUAGGGCCCAAUAGGCCCAUUAGUCUCCUCGGGGGGUUCCGGUAACCCCCCGGUACUCCGGUAUGUGUCCGAAACUACCCGAAACCAUUCCGGUGUCCGAACAUAGUCAUCCAAUAUAUCAAUCUUUAUGUCUCGACCAUUUAGAGACUCCUCGUCAUGUACGUGAUCAUAUCCGGGACUCCGAACUACCUUCGGUACAUCAAAUCACAAAACUCAUAAUACCGAUUGUCAUCUAACUUUAAGCGUGCGGACCCUACGGGUUCGAGAACUAUGUAGACAUGACCGAGACUCAUCUCCGGUCAAUAACCAAUAGCGGAACCUGGAUGCUCAUAUUGGCUCCUACAUAUUCUACGAAGAUCUUUAUCGGUCAAACCGCAUAACAACAUACGUUGUUCCCUUUGUCAUCGGUAUGUUACUUGCCCGAGAUUUGAUCGUCGGUAUCUCAAUACCUAGUUCAAUCUCGUUACCGGCAAGUCUCUUUACUCGUUCCGUAAUACAUCAUCCUGCAACUAACUCAUUAGUUACAAUGCUUGCAAGGCUUAUAGUGAUGUGCAUUACCGAGUGGGCCCAGAGAUACCUCUCCGACAAUCGGAGUGACAAAUCCUAAUCUUGAAAUAGGCCAACCCAACAAGUACCUUUGGAGACACCUGUAGAGCACCUUUAUAAUCACCCAGUUACGUUUUGACGUUUGGUAGCACACAAAGUGUUCCUCCGGUAAACGGGAGUUGCAUAAUCUCAUAGUCAUAGGAACAUGUAUAAGUCAUGAAGAAAGCAAUAGCAACAUACUAAACGAUCAAGUGCUAAGCUAACGGAAUGGGUCAAGUCAAUCACAUCAUUCUCCUAAUGAUGUGAUCCCAUUAAUCAAAUGACAACUCAUGUCUAUGGCUAGGAAACAUAACCAUCUUUGAUCAACGAGCUAGUCAAGUAGAGGCAUACUAGUGACACUCUGUUUGUCUAUGUACUCACACAUGUAUCAUGUUUCCGGUUAAUACAAUUCUAGCAUGAAUAAUAAACAUUUAUCAUGAUAUAAGGAAAUAAAUAAUAACUUUAUUAUUGCCUCUAGGGCAUAUUUCCUUCAGUCUCCCACUUGCACUAGAGUCAAUAAUCUAGAGCACAUUGCCAUGUGAUUUAACAUCAAUAGUUCACAUCACCAUGUGAUUAACACCCAUAGUUCACAUCGUCAUGUGACCAACACCCAAAGAGUUUACUAGAGUCAAUAAUCUAGUUCACAUUGCUAUGUGAUUAACACCCAAAGAGUACUAUGGUGUGAUCAUGUUUUGCUUGUGAGAGAAGUUUAGUCAACGGGUCUACCAUAUUCAGAUCCGUAUGUAUUUUGCAAAUUUCUAUGUCCACAAUGCUCUGCACAGAGCUACUUUAGCUAAUUGCUCCCACUCUCAAUAUGUAUCCAGAUUAAGACUUAGAGUCAUCUGGAUCAGUGCCAAAACUUGUAUCGACGUAACCCUUUACGACGAACCUUUUGUCACCUCCAUAAUCGAGAAACAUAUCCUUAUUCCACUAAGGAUAAUUUUGGCCGCUGUUCAGUGAUCUACUCCUAGAUCAGUAUUGUACUCCCUUGCCAAAAUUAGUGUAGGGUAUACAAUAGAUCUGGUACACAACAUUGCAUACUUCAUAGAACCUAUGGCUGAGGCAUAGGGAAUGACUUUCAUUCUCUUUCUAUCUUCUGCCGUGGUCGGGCUUUGAGUCUUAAUCAAUUUCACACCUUGUAACACAGACAAGAACUCUUUCUUUGAUUGUUCCAUUUUGAACUACUUCAAAAUCUUGUCAAGGUAUGUACUCAUUGAAAAAACUUAUCAAGCGUCUUGAUCUAUCUCUAUAGAUCUUGAUGCUCAAUAUGUAAGCAGCUUUACCGAGGUCUUUCUUUGAAAAAAUCCUUUGAAACACUCCUUUAUGCUUUGCAGAAUAAUUCUACAUUAUUUCCGAUCAACAAUAUGUCAUUCACAUAUACUUAUCAAAAAUGUUGUAGUGCUCCCACUCACUUUCUUGUUUACAGGCUUCACCACAAGUAUGUAUAAAACUAUAUGCUUUGAUCAAUUUAUCAAAGCGUAUAUUCCAACUCCGAGAUGCUUGCACCAGUCCAUAGAUGGAUCGCUGGAGCUUGCAUAUUUUGUUAGCACCUUUAGGAUUAACAAAACCUUCUUGUUGCAUCAUAUACAACUCUUCUUUAAAAAAUCCAUUAAGGAAUGCAGUUUUGUUUAUCCAUUUGCCAGAUUUCAUAAAAUGCGGCAAUUGCUAACAUGAUUCGGACAGACGUAAGCAUAGAUACGAGUGAGAAACUCUCAUCGUAGUCAACACCUUGAACUUGUCGAAAACCUUUUUGUGACAAUUCUAGCUUUGUAGAUAGUAACACUACUAUCAGCGUCCGUCUUCCUCUUGAAGAUCCAUUUAAUCUCAAUGGCUCACCAAUCAUCGGGCAAGUCAAUCAAAGUCCAUACUUUGUUCUCGUACAUGGAUCCCAUCUCAGAUUUCAUGGCCUCAAGCCAUUCUGCGGAAUCUGGGCUCAUCAUCGCUUCCUCAUAGUUCGUAGGUUUGUCAUGGUCAAGUAACAUGACCUCCAGAACAGGAUUACCGUACCACUCUGGUGCGGAUCUUACUCUGGUUGACCUACGAGGUUCGGUAGUAACUUGAUAUAAAGUUACAUGAUCAUCAUCAUUAGCUUCCUCACUAAUUGGUGUAGGAGUCACAGGAACAAAUUUCUGUGAUGAACUACUUUCCAAUAAGGGAGCAUGUAUAAUUACCUAAUCAAGUUUUACUUUCCUCCCACUCACUUCUUUCGAGAGAAACUCCUUCUCUAGAAAGGAUCCAUUCUUAGCAACGAAUAUCUUGCCUUCGGAUCUGUGAUAGAAGGUGUACCCAACUGUGUCCUUUGGGUAUCCUAUGAAGACACAUUUCUCCGAUUUGGGUUUGAGCUUAUCAGGAUGAAACUUUUUCUUAUAAGCAUCGCAACCCCAAACUUUAAGAAACGACAACUUUGGUUUCUUGCCAAACCACAGUUCAUAUGGUGUCGUCUCAACGGAUUUAGAUGGUGCCCUAUUUAACGUGAAUGCAGCUGUCUCUAAUGCAUAAUGCUACCUCUUGAGCACUACGUUGGUUUUCCCUUGAAGAGGAAAGGGUGAUGCAGCAAAGUAGCGUAAGUAUUUCCCUCAGUUUUUGAGAACCAAGGUAUCAAUCCAGUAGGAGGCUACGCGCGAGUCCCUCGCACCUACACAAAACAAAUAACUCCUCGCAACCAACGCGAUAAGGGGUUGUCAAUCCCUUCACGGUCACUUACGAGAGUGAGACCUGAUAGAUAUGAUAGGAUAAUAUUUUUGGUAUUUUUAUGAUAAAGAUGCAAAGUAAAAUAAAAGCAAAGUAAAAAACAAAGGAAAUAACUAAGAGUUGGAAGAUUAAUAUGAUGAAGAUAGACCCGGGGGCCAUAGGUUUCACUAGUGGCUUCUCUCAAGAGCAUAAGUAUUUUACGGUGGGUGAACGAAUUACUGUUGAGCAAUUGACAGAAUUGAGCAUAGUUAUGAGAAUAUCUAGGUAUGAUCAUGUAUAUAGGCAUCACGUCCGAGACAAGUAGACCGACUCCUGCCUGCAUCUACUACUAUUACUCCACUCAUCGACCGCUAUCCAGCAUGCAUUUAGAGUAUUAAGUUCAUGAAAACAGAGUAACGCCUUAAGCAAGAUGACAUGAUGUAGAGGGAUAAAUUCAUGCAAUAUGAUAAAAAAAAACAUCUUGUUAUCCUCGAUGGCAACAAUACAAUACGUGCCUUGCUGCCCCUACUGUCACUGGGAAAGGACACCGCAAGAUUGAACCCAAAGCUAAGCACUUCUCCCAUUGCAAGAAAGAUCAAUCUAGUAGGCCAAACCAAACUGAUAAUUCGAAGAGACUUGCAAAGAUAACCAAUCAUACAUAAAAGAAUUCAGAGAAGAUUCAAAUAUUGUUCAUAGAUAAUCUUGAUCAUAAACCCACAAUUCAUCGGUCUCAACAAAGACACCGCAAAAAGAAGAUUACAUCGAAUAGAUCUCCGAGAGAGGGGGAGAACAUUGUAUUGAGAUCCAAAAAGAGAGAAGAAGCCAUCUAGCUACUAACUAUGGACCCGAAGGUCUGAGGUAAACUACUCACACUUCAUCGGAGAGGCUAUGGUGUUGAUGUAGAAGCCCUCCGUGAUGGAUGCCCCCUUCGGCGGAGCUCCAGAACAGGCCCCAAGAUGGGAUCUCGUGGGUACAGAAGGCUGCGGCGGUGGAAUUAGGUUUUUGGCUCCGUAUCUGAUCGUUUGGGGGUACGUAGGUAUAUAUAGGAGGAAGGAGUACGUCGGUGGAGCGACAGGGGGCCCACGAGGGUGGAGGGCGCGCCCUGGGGGGUGGGCACGCCCCCCUACCUCGUGGCCUCCUCUUUUGUUUCUUGACGUAGGGUCCAAGUCUCCUGGAUCAUAUUCUUCCUAAAAAUCACGUUCCCGAAGGUUUCAUUCCGUUUGGACUCCGUUUGAUAUUCCUUUUCUGCGAAACUCUGAAAUAGGCAAAAAACAACAAUUCUGGGCUGGGCCUCCGGUUAAUAGGUUAGUCCCAAAAAUAAUAUAAAAGUGGAUAAUAAAGCCCAAUAUUGUCCAAAGCAGUAGAUAAUAUAGCAUGGAGCAAUCAAAAAUUAUAGAUACGUUGGAGACGUAUCAGGCAUCCCCAAGCUUAAUUCCUGCUCGUCCUCGAGUAGGUAAAUGAUAAAAACAGAAUUUUUGAUGCAGAGUGCUACUUGGCAUAAUUUCAAUGUAAUUCUUCUUAAUUGUGGUAUGAAUAUUCAGAUCCGAAAGAUUCAAGACAAAAGUUCAAUAUUGACAUAAAAAUAAUAAUACUUCAAGCAUACUAACUAAGCAAUCAUCUCUUCUCAAAAUAACAUGGCCAAAGAAAGUUAUCCCUACAAAAUCAUAUAGUCUAGCUAUGCUCUAUCUUCACCACACAAAGUAUUUAAAUCAUGCGCAACCCUGAUGACAAGCCAAGCAAUUGUUUCAUACUUUUAACGUUCUCAAACUUUUUCAAUCUUCACGCAAUACAUGAGCGUGAGCCAUGGAUAUAGCACUAUAUGUGGAAUAGAAUGGUGGUUGUGGAGAAGACAAAAAGGGAGAACAUAGUCUCACAUCAACUAGGCGUAUCAACGGGCUAUGGAGAUGCCCAUCAGUAGAUAUCAAUGUGAGUGAGUAGGGAUUGCCAUGCAACGGAUGCACUAGAGCUAUAAGUAUAUGAAAGCUCAACAAAAGAAACUAAGUGGGUGUGCAUCCAACUCGCUUGCUCAUGAAGACCUAGGGCAUUUUGAGGAAGCCCAUCAUUGGAAUAUACAAGCCAAGUUCUAUAAUGAAAAAUUCCCACAAGUAUAUGAAAGUGACAAAAUGAGAGACUCUCUAUCAUGAAGAUCAUGGUGCUACUUUGAAGCACAAGUGUGGUAAAAGGAUAGUAACAUUGUCCCUUCUCUCUUUUUCUCUCAUUUUUUUAUUUGGGCCUUUUCUCUUUUUUAUGGCCUCUUUUUUUUCGUCCGGAGUCUCAUCCUGAUUUGUGGGCGAAUCAUAGUCUCCAUCAUCCUUUUCCUCACUUGGGACAAUGCUCUAAAAAUGAAUAUCAUCACAAUUUUAUUUUCUUACAACUCAACAAUUACAACUCGAUACUUAGAACAAAAUAUGACUCUGUAUGAAUGCCUCCGGCGGUGUACCGGGAUAUGCAAUGAAUCAAGAGUGACAUGUAUGAAAGAAUUAUGAACGGUGGCUUUGCCACAAAUACGAUGUCAACUACAUGAUCAUGCAAAGCAAUAUGACAAUGAUGGAGCGUGUCAUAAUAAACGGAACGGUGGAAAGUUGCAUGGCAAUAUAUCUCGGAAUGGCUAUGGAAAUGCCAUGAUAGGUAGGUAUGGUGGCUGUUUUGAGGAAGGUUUAUGGUGGGUGUAUGAUACCGGCGAAAAGUGCGCGGUAUUAGAGAGGCUAGCAAUGGUGGAAGGAAGAAGGGUGCGUAUAAUCCAUGGAAUCAACAUUAGUCAUAAAGAACUCAUAUACUUAUUGCAAAAAUCUACAAGUUUUCAAAGCAAAGUAUUACACGCAUGCUCCUAGGGGGAUAGAUUGGUAGGAAAAGACCAUCGCUCGUCCCCGACCGCCACUCAUAAGGAAGACAAUCAAUAAAUAAAUCAUGCUCCGACUUCAUCACAUAACGGUUCACCAUACGUGCAUGCUACGGGAAUCACAAACUUUAACACAAGUAUUUCUAAAAUUCACAACUACUCAACUAGCACGACUCUAAUAUCACCAUCUUUAUAUCUCAAAACAAUUAUCAAGCAUCAAACUUUUCUUAGUAUUCAACACACUCAUAAGAAAGUUUUUACUAAUCUUGAAUACCAAGCAUAUUAGGAUUAUUUAAGACAAUUACCAUGCUAUUUAAGACUCUCAAAAUAAUCUAAGUGAAGCAUGAGAGAUCAAUAGUUUCUAUAAAACAAAUCCACCACCGUGCUCUAAAAGAUAUAAGUGAAGCACUAGAGCAAAACUAUAUAACUCAAAAGAUAUAAGCGAAGCACAUAGAGUAUUCUAACAAAUUCCAAAUCAUGUAUGGCUCUCUCAAAAGGUGUGUACAGCAAGGAUGAUUGUGGUAAACUAAAAAGCAAUGACUCAAAUCAUACAAGACGCUCCAAGCAAAACACAUAUCAUGUGGUGAAUAAAAUAUAGCUCCAAGUAAACUUACCGAUGGAAGUAGACGAAAGAGGGGAUGCCUUCCGGGGCAUCCCCAAGCUUUGGCUUUUUGGUGUCCUUAGAUUAUCUUGGGGGUGCCAUGGGCAUCCCCAAGCUUAGGCUCUUGCCACUCCUUGUUCCAUAAUCCAUCAAAAUCUUUCACCCAAAACUUGAAAACUUCACAACACAAAACUUAACAGAAAAUCUCGUGAGCUCCGUUAGCGAAAGAAAACAAAAGACCACUUCAAGGUACUGUAAUGAACUCAUUCUUUAUUUAUAUUGGUGUUAAACCUACUGUAUUCCAACUUCUCUAUGGUUUAUAAACUAUUUUACUAGCCAUAGAUUCAUCAAAAUAAGCAAAAAACACACGAAAAACAGAAUCUGUCAAAAACAGAACAGUCUGUAGUAAUCUGUAACUAACGCAAACUUCUGGAACUCCAAAACAUCAGCAAAAAUAGGAAGACCUAGAAUUUUUUUUUAUUAAUCAGAAGCAAUUGGAAUCACUAUUUUAUCACGUUCUGGUGAUUUUUAACAAUUAUUUUCGUGAACAGAAAGAUUCUGGAAAUUACAGCAAGAUCAAAUAACUAUCAUCCAAGAAGAUCCUAUAGGUUUAACUUGGCUCAAACACUAAUUAAAACAUAAAAACACAUCUAACCAGAGGCUAGAACAAAUAUUUAUUCCUAAACAGAAGCAAAAAACUAAAAAUAAAAUUGGGUUGCCUCCCAACAAGCGCUAUCGUUUAACGCCCCUAGCUAGGCAUAAAAGCAAGGAUAAAUCUAGGUAUUGCCAUAUUUGGUUUUAGGGAAAAUGAGAGCAAACUUGUUAUCUAUGGAAUUAAUAUUUCUAUUUUGACAAAGUACAUGGCCAUUAAUGGUAGAAGAAAGAUUAAGUAUGUUGCGGAAAUUGGCAUCUAGGCUAGCUUUUAUCUCUUUGAUAGAUUCGUUUUGGUAAGAAAGCAAAAGAGACGUGAUUUCAACUUUCUCCUUAAUGGGGUGCCCAAAUAUAGUUUUCAUCUUUUCAUAGGUAUCUAUGGGGUCCCCUUCAAGAAAACCCUCUUCAAAAAUAGAAUCCAAGACUUGUUUGAACGAAGCGGGCAACCCAACAUAAAAGCUUUUUAAGUAAACCUCAAUUUGGUAUUGAGGUACAUAGCUAGCACGGAUCCUUAAUAGCCUAUCCCAAGCAUCUUUCAAAGAUUCAUCAAGUAAAUAACGAAAUAUUCCAGAAUCUUCUUCAUCAAAAUUGCUAAGGUUUUCAUUCAUAAUUUCGGCAGGUUUUUCCAUAGUAUUUUUAUUUAUGAGUUUAGAUAAGAUAGCAGGAUUGUCUAAAGCGCUAAAACUCGGGAGAGAAACCCCAGCUUUUUUUGGUUCUGACAUGGCGAGGGAAAAGCGAACGAAAAGAGGCAACCGGAAAAAAGAGAGCGAAUAAAACGGCAAGGGUGAAGUGGGGGAGAGGAAAACGAGAGGCAAAUGGCAAAUAAUGUAAUGCGGGAGAUAAGAGAUUGUGAUGGGUACUUGGUAUGUUGACUUUUGCGUAGACCUCCCCGGCAACGGCGCCAGAAAUCCUUCUUGCUACCUCUUGAGCACUGCGUUGGAUUUCCCUUGAAGAGGAAAGGGUGAUGCAGCAAAGUAGCGUAAGUAUUUCCCUCAGUUUUUGAGAACCAAGGUAUCAAUCCAGUAGGAGGCUACGCGCGAGUCCCUCGCACCUACACAAAACAAAUAACUCCUCGCAACCAACGCAAUAAGGGGUUGUCAAUCCCUUCACGGUCACUUACGAGAGUGAGAUCUGAUAGAUAUGAUAGGAUAAUAUUUUUGGUAUUUUUAUGAUAAAGAUGCAAAGUAAAAUAAAAGCAAAGUAAAAAACAAAGGAAAUAACUAAGUGUUGGAAGAUUAAUAUGAUGAAGAUAGACCCGGGGGGCAUAGGUUUCACUAGUGGCUUCUCUCAAGAGCAUAAGUAUUUUUCGGUGGGUGAACGAAUUACUGUUGAGCAAUUGAUAGAAUUGAGCAUAGUUAUGAGAAUAUCUAGGUAUGAUCAUGUAUAUAGGCAUCACGUCCGAGACAAGCAGACCGACUCCUACCUGCAUCUACUACUAUUACUCCACUCAUCGACCGCUAUCCAGCAUGCAUCUAGAGUAUUAAGUUCAUGAAAACAGAGUAACGCCUUAAGCAAGAUGACAUGAUGUAGAGGGAUAAAUUCAUGCAAUAUGAUAAAAAAACCAUCUUGUUAUCCUCGAUGGCAACAAUACAAUACGUGCCUUGCUGCCCCUACUGUCACUGGGAAAGAACACCGCAAGAUUGAACCCAAAGCUAAGCACUUCUCCCAUUGCAAGAAAGAUCAAUCUAGUAGGCCAAACCAAACUGAUAAUUCGAAGAGACUUGCAAAGAUAACCAAUCAUACAUAAAAGAAUUCAGAGAAGAUUCAAAUAUUGUUCAUAGAUAAUCUUGAUCAUAAACCCACAAUUCAUCGGUCUCAACAAACACACCGCAAAAAGAAGAUUACAUCGAAUAGAUCUCCACGAGAGAGGGGGAGAACAUUGUAUUGAGAUCCAAAAAGAGAGAAGAAGCCAUCUAGCUACUAACUAUGGACCCGAAGGUUUGAGGUAAACUACUCACACUUCAUCGGAGAGGCUAUGGUGUUGAUGUAGAAGCCCUCCGUGAUGGAUGCCCCCUCCGGCGGAGCUCCGGAACAGGCCCCAAGAUGGGAUCUCGUGGGUACAGAAGGUUGCGGUGGUGGAAUUAGGUUUUUGGCUCCGUAUCUGAUCGUUUGGGGGUACGUAGGUAUAUAUAGGAGGAAGGAGUACAUUGGUGGAGCAAUAGGGGGCCCACGAGGGUGGAGGGCGCGCCCCCCUACCUCGUGGCCUCCUCUUUUGUUUCUUGACGUAGGGUCCAAGUCUCCUGGAUCAUAUUCUUCCUAAAAAUCACGUUCCCGAAGGUUUCAUUCCGUUUGGACUCCGUUUGAUAUUCCUUCUCUGCAAAACUCUGAAAUAGGCAAAAAACAGCAAUUCUGGACUGGGCCUCUGGUUAAUAGGUUAGUCCCAAAAAUAAUAUAAAAGUGGAUAAUAAACCCCAAUAUUGUCCAAAACAGUAGAUAAUAUAGCAUGGAGCAAUCAAAAAUUAUAGAUACGUUGGAGACGUAUCACAUAACCCCAAAACGAUAGUGGUAGAUCGGUAAGAAACAUCAUAGAUCGCACCAUAUCUAGUAAAGUACUAUUAUGACGUACGGACACACCAUUAUGCUGUGGUGUUCCAGGUGGCAUGAAUUUGUGAAACUAUUCCACAUUGUUUUAAUUGAAGACCAAACUCGUAACUCAAAUAUUUGUCUCCGCGAUCAGAUCGUAGAAACUUUAUUUUCUUGUCACAAUGAUUUUCCACUUUACUCUGAAAUUCUUUGAACUUUUGAAAUGUUUCAGACUUAUGUUUCAUCAAGUAGAUAUACCCAUAUCUGCUCAAAUCAUCUGUGAAGGUUAGAAAAUAACGAUACCCGCAGCAAGCCUCAACACUCAUCGGAUCGUAUACAUCAGUAUGUAUUAUUUCCAACAAGUUUGUUGCUUGCUCCAUUGAGUCUUAGUCAUCUUGCCCAUGAGGCAUGGUUCGCAAGCAUCAAGUGAUUCAUAAUCAAGUGAUUCCAAAAGCCCAUCAACAUGGAGUUUCUUCAUGUGCUUUAUACCAAUAUGGCCUAAACGGCAGUGCCACAAAUAAGUUGCACUAUCAUUAUUAACUUUGCAUCUUUUGGCUUCAAUAUUAUGAAUAUGUGUAUCACUACGAUCGAGAUCCAACAAACUAUUUUCAUUGGGUGUAUGACCAUCGAAGGUUUUAUUCAUGUAAACAGAAUAACAAUUAUUCUCAAAUUUUAAAUGAAUAAACGUAUUGCAAUAAACAUGAUCAAAUCAUAUUCAUGCUUAACGCAAACUCCAAAUAACAUUUAUUUAGGUUCAACACUAAUCCCAAAAGUAUAGGUAGUGUGCGAUGAUGAUCAUAUCAAUCUUGGAACCACUUCCAACACACAUCGUCACUUCACCCUUAACUAGUCUCUGUUCAUUCUGCAACUCCCGUUUCAAGUUACUUCUCUUAGCAACUGAACCAGUAUCAAAUACCGAGGGGUUGCUAUAAACACUAGUAAAGUACACAUUAAUAACAUGUAUAUCAAAUAUAGCUUGUUCACUUUGCCAUUCUUCUUAUCUGCCAAAUACUUGGGGUAGUUCCGCUUCCAGUGACCAGUCCCUUUGCAGUAGAAGCACUUAGUCUCAGGCUUAGGUCCAGACUUGGGCUUCUUCACUUGAGCAGCAACUUGCUUGUCGUUCUUCUUGAAGUUCCCCUUCUUCCCUUUGCCCUUUCUCUUGAAACUAGUGGUCUUGUCAACCAUCAACACUUGAUGCUUUUCUUGAUUUCUACCUUCGCCGAUUUUAGCAUAGCGAAGAGCUUGGGAAUCGUUUUCGUCAUCCCUUGCAUAUUAUAGUUCAUCACGAAGUUCUAGUAACUUGGUGAUAGUGACUAGAGAACUCUGUCAAUCACUAUCUUAUUUGAAAGAUUAACUCCCACUUGAUUCAAGCAAUUGUAGUACCCAGACAUUCUGAGCACAUGCUCACUGGCUGAGCUAUUCUCCUCCAUCUUGUAGGCAAAGUACUGUCAGAGGUCUCAUACCUCUCGACACGGGUAUGAGUCUGAAAUACCAAUUUCAACUCUUGGAACAUCUCAUAUGCUCCGUGGCGUUCAAAACAUUUUUGAAGUUCCGGUUCUAAGCCGUAAAGCAUGGUGCACUAAACUAUCAAGUAGUCAUCAUAACGAGCUUGCCAAACAUUCAUAACGUCUGCAUCUGCUCCUGCAAUAGGUUUGUCACCUAGCAGUGCAUCAAGGACGUAAUUCUUCUGUGCAGCAAUGAGGAUAAUCCUCAGAUCACGGACCAAGUCCAUAAUUUUGCUACUAACAUCUUUCAACUUAGUUUUCUCUAGGAACAUAUCAAAAUUAAAAUAGGGGAGCUAAACGCGAGCUAUUGAUCUACAACAUAGAUAUGCUAAUAUUACCAUGACUAAGUGCAUGAUAAAUUAAAGUUCAAUUAAUCAAAUUACUUAAGAACUCCCACUUAGAUAGACAUCCCUCUAAUCAUCUAAGUGAUCACGUGAUCCAUAUCAACUAAACCAUGUCCGAUCAUCACGUGAGAUGGAGUAGUUUUCAAUGGUGAACAUCACUAUGUUGAUCAUAUCUUCUAUAUGAUUCACGCUCGACCUUUCGGUGUCAGUGUUCCGAAGCCAUAUCUGCAUAUGCUAGGCUCGUCAAGUUUAACCCGAGUAUUCUGCGUGUGCAAAAACUGGCUUGCACCCGUUGUAGAUGAACGUAGAGCUUAUCACACCCGAUCAUCACGUGGUGUCUCGGCACGACGAACUUUGGCAACGGUGCAUACUCAGGGAGAACAGUUUUAUCUUGAAAUUUUAGUGAGAGAUCAUCUUAUAAUGCUACCAUCAAACAAAGCAAGAUAAGAUGCAUAAAAGAUAAACAUCACAUGCAAUCAAUAUAAGUGAUAUGAUAUGGCCAUCAUCAUCUUGUGCUUGUGAUCUCCAUCUCCGAAGCACCGUCAUGAUCACCAUCGUCACCGGUGCGACACCUUGAUCUCCAUCGUAGCAUCGUUGUCGUCUCGCCAACUAUUGCUUCUACGACUAUCGCUACCGCUUAGUGAUAAAGUAAAGCAAUUAUAGGGCGUUUGCAUUGCAUACAAUAAAGCAACAACCAUAUGGCUCCUGCCAGUUGCCGAUAACUUGGUUACAAAACAUGAUCAUCUCAUACAAUAAAAUAUAGCAUCAUGCCUUGACCAUAUCACAUCACAACAUACCCUGCAAAAACAAGUUAGACGUCCUCUACUUUGUUGUUGCAGGUUUUACGUGGUUGCUACGGGCUGAGCAAGAACCGUUCUUACCAACGCAUCAAAACCACAAUGAUAGUUCGUCAAGUCAGUGCUGUUUUAACCUUCUCAAGGACCGGGCGUAGCCACACUCGGUUCAACUAAAGUUGGAGAAACUGACACCCGCCAGCCACCUAUGUGCAAAGCACGUUGGUAGAACCAGUCUCGCGUAAGCGUACGCGUAAUGUCGGUCCGGGCCGCUUCAUCCAACAAUACCGCCGAACCAAAGUAUGACAUGCUGGUAAGUAGUAUGACUUGUAUCACCCACAACUCACUUGUGUUCUACUCGUGCAUAUAACAUCUACGCAUAAAACCAGGCUCUGAUACCACUGUUGGGGAACGUAGUAAUUUCAAAAAAAAUCAUACGCACACACAGGAUCAUGGUGAUGCAUAGCAACGAGAGGAGAGAGUGUGUCCACGUACCCUCAUAGACCGAAAGCGGAAGCGUUAGCACAACGAGGUUGAUGUAGUCGUACGUCUUCAAGGUCCGACCGAUCAAGUACCGAACGUACGUCACCUCCGAGUUCAGCACACGUUCAGCUCGAUGACGUCCCUCGAACUCCGAUCCAGCCGAGCUUUAAGGGAGAGUUCCGUCAGCACGACGGCGUGGUGACGGUGAUGAUGAUGCUACCGACACAGGGCUUCGCCUAAGCACCGCUACGAUAUUAUCAAGGUGGAAUAUGGUGGAGGAGGGCACCGCACACGGCUAAGAGAUCAAGAGAUCAAUUGUUGUGUCUCCAAGGGGUGCCCCCCUCCCCAUAUAUAAAGGAGUGGAGGAGGGGGAGGGGGCUGGCCACCCUAGGCGUGCCCCAUGAGGAGUCCUACUCCCACCGGGAGUAGGACUCCCCCCUUCCAAGUGGGAGUAGGAGGGGAGAGGGAAGGAGAGAGAGGGGGGAAGGAAAGGGGGGCGCCCCCCUCCUUGUCCAAUUCGGACUGGGGGGAGGGGGCGCGCGGCUGCCCUUGGCCGCCCGUCCUCUUCUCCACUAGGGACCAACAGGCCCAUUAGUCUCCCCCGUGGGUUCCGGUAACCCCCCGGUACUCCGGUAUGUGUCCGAAACUACCCGAAACCAUUCCGAUGUCCGAACAUAGUCAUCCAAUAUAUCGAUCUUUAUGUCUCGACCAUUUCGAGACCCCUCGUCAUGUCUGUGAUCAUAUCCGGGACUCCGAACUACCUUCGGUACAUCAAAUCACAAAACUCAUAAUACCGAUUGUCAUCUAACUUUAAGCGUGCGGACCCUACGGGUUCGAGAACUAUGUAGACAUGACCGAGACUCAUCUCCGGUCAAUAACCAAUAGCGGAACCUAGAUGCUCAUAUUGGCUCCUACAUAUUCUACGGAGAUCUUUAUCGGUCAAACCGCAUAACAACAUGCGUUGUUCCCUUUGUCAUCGGUAUGUUACUUGCCCGAGAUUCGAUCGUCGGUAUCUCAAUACCUAGUUCAAUCUCGUUACCAGCAAGUCUCUUUACUCGUUCCGUAAUACAUCAUCCCGCAACUAACUCAUUAGUUACAAUGCUUGCAAGGCUUAUAGUGAUGUGCAUUACCGAGUGGGCCCAGAGAUACCUCUCCGACAAUCGGAGUGACAAAUCCUAAUCUCGAAAUACGCCAACCCAACAAGUACCUUUGGAGACACCUGUAGAGCACCUUUAUAAUCACCCAGUUACGUUGUGACGUUUGGUAGCACACAAAGUGUUCCUCCGGUAAACGGGAGUUGCAUAAUCUCAUAGUCAUAGGAACAUGUAUAAGUCAUGAAGAAAGCAAUAGCAACAUACUAAACGAUCAAGUGCUAAGCUAACGGAAUGGGUCAAGUCAAUCACAUCAUUCUCCUAAUGAUGUGAUCCCAUUAAUUAAAUGACAACUCAUGUCUAUGGCUAGGAAACAUAACCAUCUUUGAUCAACGAGCUAGUCAAGUAGAGGCAUACUAGUGACACUCUGUUUGUCUAUGUACUCACACAUGUAUCAUGUUUCCGGUUAAUACAAUUCUAGCAUGAAUAAUAAACAUUUAUCAUGAUAUAAGGAAAUAAAUAAUAACUUUAUUAUUGCCUCUAGGGCAUAUUUCCUUCAUGCAUCUCAUGCGGCUAUUUAAAUAUAUAUGCUUAAAUUGAUAUUGAUCUAUAUAUGCAUGUUAAAUUAAGACAACGGUCAUAUCGCUCUGUAUAAUAGUUUUAGAAUUACCGGGCAAAGUCAGCUGGGAGGGGGUGGCAAGAGAACGUUAUUUGUUGGCGGUUUUAGUUGUUAGGCGAGAUGAAAUGAUGACAGUUUUUAAAUGAAAAUUGCCUCCUCACCAAGAAACUGCGAUGCCGCAUGAAGAAAAUGACACACCUCGCCACUUCCUCACAACUAUAACUGCCACAAAAUCGUUCACAUAUGCCACCCUCCCCGUCGAACGUUCGCCAGCUAAAGUCGUCCUAGAAUUAUAGUUUUGGAAUACCUAAUGUACAAAAUAUAUUUGUAAAAAUUGCAUAAAUACACCGCCGUACCUAUGUUGACACAACAUGACUGUAGGGGGCUCUCCUCGCCUAGCCCGCGCCGCCGGCCCCGGCGUCUAGCCAACCGACGGCGACCACUCCGGCCCAAUCGUCCACAGAUCUCACCCAGCCCGGGCCUAGGGCCAUGGCCUGCUCCCCCACCCCCGGUCGACCUCGUGAGCGACGCUGGCUCGAGGUCAGCCUCUCGCCACCGAGCUUGUCCAGCCUGCGCGCCGCCUUGCCGCCGCCGUCCUAUCGCCAGGUGCUCUGCUCCGUGCCUCCCCGCCCCGCUAGCCCUGCGGCCCUGGCCUCAUCGACCGCUCGGCUUAUCCCGUGCUCGGAGAUCCACCGGGUCCCCUGUGCGCCAUCUCCGCCGUCGCAGGCCCCCUGGGAGAUGGUCCGCGGCCGCAAGCGCCCCCGUUCUUGCCGUGCUCGCCGGCCUGACGACGCGCGCCGCCCGUGUCCCGCUCAGCCUGCCCCCGCGGAGGAGUGCCCGCGCUGCUUCAGCACGGAGCACACGCGCAUCGAGUGCCGCUGCGUUAUCCGGUGCUCUCGCUGCCGGUUCUACGGACACCUCCGCCGGAACUGCACCAACCCCCCUACCGCCCCUCCCUGCCGGCGAAGCGUGCGCCCAGGCCUCCCCCACCCCAACGCUCCCUCCGAGCCCUGUGCGCACUCUGGGUCCAGCGUGGCGGGAUCCUUCCGGCCCGCGUCCUCUGGGUCGGGCAGUGUCUCCCCCGCGUCUCUCGCCUCCAUGCCUCGUUCUGCUUCUCCGGCGAGGUCCCGCACCCCUUCCGCCACCCCGGUGUGGUCCGCGGCCGCCUCCCCGGUGGCCUCGGGAUCGUCCGCGCCGCUGUCUGGCCACCCCUCUCGCCGCCCUGUGACCUCGCUCUGCUUCUGCCACGCUCUGCUGAGGUUUUUGCGGCGGAGCUGGAGCUACAGCAGCUCUCGCUGGUUGCCACCCUGGCUGGCAACCGUUCUAGGAUCUCCUGCACCAAGGUCAUCGCCGCGCUUCGGGAGCGCUUCCACCUCUCGCCGGACAUCCUCUCCGUCCGUCGCCACCAGCCCGAGCCGUUCCUCCUCAGGUUCUCUGACCCAGCCGCUCAUGCCCGCGUUGCUGCCGGAAACGCGCGCUUCCCACCAUUCUGGCUCAUCCUCCACCCCUGGAGCAGUCUGGCUGGUGCGGAGCCCAUGGAUCUUCCCUUUCGCGUGGACAUCAAAAUGAUUGGCAUCCCGGACCAUGCCUGGCAUCUCUCCUCUGCGGAAAUGCUGCUUUCUCCAUUAUGUGAGAUUGAGCACCUGGCUCCGGAGAUCCGCGAUUGCUCCGACCGCUCUGCGUUCAGGCUAUCGGCAUGGACCAACAACCCCGAUGCGAUCCCGCGACACUCUGAGCUCUUCCUCCCGGAGCCAGAUGCGGUGCUGCCUGAUGCCAACCCCGUGGUGGCCGAGUGUUUCGCGCUGCGUGCCCUCCGCCGCCCGGUGCGUAUCUUCGCCACUGAGACCGCGGACUUCCGGCGGCUGCCCCCCUCCUCGGGCUGACCAUGGCGGUGCUGCUCCUGGAGGUGACGAGUCUUUGCCUUUGCCAGAGCCUUGGCCAAGGCGGCAUCAGUUCCUGAGUCGGGCGGGAACUGCGGCGCUGCUGGUGCCCGCCCCGCGCCGGGCGGCGCCACCGAUGUGCUGUGGCGACGAGGUGCCCCACCCCCCCGCACGCGUCUAGUCUGGCGUGCUUUGGCCCCACCCCUCUGAUGCCCCUGUCCGUCCGUCCGGUCGCAUGGCCCACCGAAUCGCUUUUCCUGCCACGGAUAAAGCGCCUGCGACCAUUUUGGACUCUUCUGCCUGCGUGACCCUGCCGCAGCAUAUCCUGCUGUUGGUCCUUUGACCAACCGUUGCUUCGACCGACACGCCCCGCAAGGAUCCCAACCUUGAUUCCCCUCUAUCCUUCCGCUCCUCCGCACCAGGCAGUCCGGAGGAGCGCGCCACUCCGCUCCUGGACAGUUGUCCCCCUCCAUUUCGCGCGGAGCGCGCUCCAGAUUCUUCCACUGAGGGGGCCACUCUGCCCCCCGGCAAGCUCUUGACCCAAGCCUGACACGCCAGUCGCCCUGGCCCAUUGCGCCCCCGACGACGGGUCCGACCUGGGCGCUGAUCCAUGCGCGUCUGACGUCCCGACAGCAGAGCCCACUUUGCCCCUUUUGGCGUUGGACUCUCCAUGUGGUCUUGAUUCGCUGCAUGCCCCCCUCUCCACCAACGCUACGGGCGAAUCCACCCCUGCGCCACUGCAUGCAGAUAACCGUGGGACUUGGGCCACUACGGGCGCGGAUCCCUGCGAUACCCCCACCUGCUCGCCUGAUCCUGCGGGGCCGCUGCAUGGGCUCGUCCCACCGAUGCAUGCCAACCCUUCGACCCCCGCUGAUCUGGCGGCUUCCUGCUCCCUUUGCUGCAGGCCUCUAACCCACUGUUGCCUUCUCCCUCCCCUCAGUCUAGGCGCUGGCGCAACGACUUACCGCCUAACUUCACACCACACCGCAGUAACAGGAUCGCCUUGACCGACCGUGGCCUCAACUCUGAGCACAGGGCCAAGCGCGUGCUCCUCAAGUGGCUUGGGCUGCUUUCGGACGAUCAACCACUUUCAGACAGCGUUCUGCAGCAAUAUGCUCGCCCAUUCGAUCCGCCGCUCGCCGCAGAGACCAUUCAGGCCCUGACUGACUUCUACGGAUGGAAGAUACCGACUGCUGCGGCGGACUAGGUGUCUCCGGAUCGCGCCUCAUUAUGGCCUGAGUCCAUGUCCCCCGCCCCACCUGCUAGGAACCCCCCCACUGUUGUUAUGAAUCAAAAUCUUAAGAUUGUGUUCUGGAAUGUGCGCAGCCUUAAUUGCCCGGCCAGACGCAUCGCCGUUCUUUCCAUGAUCGCCUCGGUCUCCCCGAGUGUUGUUUGUCUCCAGGAGUCCAAGCUUGCUGUUGUUUCCCCUGCUGUGGUUGCCGAGACGUGUGGGACAGCUUUUCAGGACUUCUUCGUCCUCCCCGCUGAUGGGACACACGGUGGCAUCAUUCUGGCUUGGAGACAUUGGCCUCUACCACGUCACCGCCCUCGCCACGGUGCCCGGGCGCGAGGGGCAUUGGUCGCUGACUGAUACGUCUCCAACGUAUCUACUUUUCCUAACGCUUUUCCUCUUGUUGGACUCUAAUUUGCAUGAUUUGAAUGAAACUAACCCCGGACUGACGCUGUUUUCAACAGAACUACCAUGGUGUUAUUUUUGUGCAGAAAUAAAAGUUCUCGGAAUGAAACGAAACUUUGCGAGGAUUUUUUAUAUCAAUAAAGAGAAUUUCUAGAGCCAAGAGCCAUCGGAGGGGGGCACCUGGGUGGGCAAAACCCACCAGGGCGCGCCUGCCCUCCCAAGCGUGCCCAGGUGGGUUGUCCUCACCUGGUGGCCCGGCAGACCCUGAAACCGACGCUAUAAAAUCCUAUUUUUCCAGAAAAAAAUCAGGGAGAAAGAAUUAUCACGAUCCACGAGACGGAACCGCCAUCACCUCCUGUUCUUCAUCGGGAGGCCAGAUCUGGAGUCCGUUUGGGGCUCCAGAGAGGGGGAUCUUUGUUCUUGGUCAUCACCAACCCUUCUCCAUAGCCAAUUCCAUGAUGCUCCCCACCGGGAGUGAGUAAUUCCUUCGUAGUCUUGCUUGUCGGUGAGGAGUUGGAUGAGAUUCAUCAUGUGAUCGAGUUAGUUUUGUUAGGGCUUGAUCCCUAGUAUCCAUUAUGUUCUGAUAUUGAUGUUGCUAUGACUUUGCCAUGCUUAAUGCUUGUAACUUUGGGCCCGGGUGCCAUGAAUUCAGAUCUGAACCGUUUAUGUUAUCACCAUUAUAUCCAUGUUCUAGAUCCGAUCUUGCAAGUUAUAGUCACCUACUACGUGUUACGAUUUGGCAACCCCGGAGUGACAAUAGUCGGGACCACUCCCGGUGAUGACCGUAGUUUGAGGAGUUCAUGUAUUCACCGUGUGUUAAUGCUUUGUUCUGGUUCUCUAUUAAAAGGAGGCCUUAAUAUCCCUUAGUUUCCAAUAUGGACCCCGCUGCCACGGGAGGGUAGGACAAAAGAUGUCAUGCAAGUUCUUUCCAUAAGCACGUAUGACUAUUUACGGAAUACAUGCCUAGAUUAUAUUUAUGAACUGGAGCUAGUGCCAUAUCGCCCUAGGUUAUAAAUGUCUCGUGAUGAAUAUCAUCCACAAAUUACCGAUCCAAUGCCUACGAAUUUAUCUUAUAUUGUUUCUGCUAAGUUACUCCUGCUAUCGUUACUGUUGCACUUGCUACAAAAUUACUGCUCUCACUGUUACCGUUACCAUUGCUGCUGACACUACUAUCAUAUUACUUUGCUACUGAUCACGUUGCUGAGAUAAUUAAUCUCUAGGUGUGGUUGAAUUGACAACUCAGCUGCUAAUACCUUCAAAUAUUCUUUGGUUCCCCUUGUGUCGAAUCUAUAAAUUUGGGUUGAAUACUCUACCCUCGAAAACUGUUGCGAUCCCCUAUACUUGUGGGUUACAAGACCUUUUUCUGGCGCCGUUCCCGGGGAGGGUUAAUACUUUUCUCGUAGUUGCGGAUGAUUGCAGGAGGGUUAAUCAUAAGUAGGAGGUUUGUUCAAGUAAGAACAUCACCUAAGCACCGGUCCACCCACAUAUCAAAUUAUCAAAGUAGCGAAUACAAAUCAAACCAACAUGAUGAAAGUGACUAGAUGAAAUUCCCGUGUACCCUCAAGAACGCUUUGCUUAUCAUAAGAGACCAUUUUCGCCUGUCCUUUGCCUCAAAAGGAUUGGGCUACCUUGCUGCAAUUUUGUUACUACUAUCGUUACUUGCUCGUUCCAAAUUAUCUUGCUAUCAAACUACUCCGCUACUUACAAUUUAGCACUUGCAGACAUUACCUUGCUGAAAACCACUUGUCAUUUCCUUCUGCUCCUCGUUGGGUUCGACACUCUUACUUACCAAAAAGAGCUACAAUUGAUCCCCUAUACUUGUGGGUCAUCAAGGAUAUUUUCUGGCGCCGUUGCCGGGGAGUGAAGCGCCUUUGGUAAGGAAACAUUUAUAUAGUGUGCUGAAAUUUAUUCUUGCUACUAUGGAAAACAAUCCUUUGAGGGGUUUGUUCGGGGUAUCUUUGUUGGGGAAUGUAGUACUUCAAAAAAAUUCCUACAAUCACGCAAGAUCUAUCUAGGAGAAGCAUAGCAACGAGCAGGGAGAGUGUGUCCACGCACCCUCGUAGACCGAAAGCGGAAGCGUUAAGUAACGCGGUUGAUGUAGUCGAACGUCUUCGCGAUCCAACCGAUCAAGUACCGAACGCACGACACCUCCAUGAUCUGCACACGUACAGCUUGGUGACGUCCCUCGAACUCUUGAUCCAGCUGAGGCCGAGGGAGAGUUUCGUCAGCACGACGGCGUGGUGACGGUGAUGAUGAAAUUACCGGCGCAGGACUUCGCCUAAGCACUACGACGAUAUGACCGAGGUGUGUUUCUGUGGAGGGGGGCACCGCACACGGCUAAGAGAUCAACUUGUGUGUCUAUGGGGUGCCCCCUCCUCCGUAUAUAAAGGAGUGGAGGAGGGGGUCGGCCGGUGUCAAGGGGUGCGCCCCAAGGGGGGAAUCCUACUCCUACUAGGAGUAGGUUCCCCACUUUCCUAGUCCAACUAGGAGGGGAAGGAAAGAGGAAGAGGGAGAGAAGGAAAGCCCCCCCCCCCCCGAAUUCGGAUUGGGCUUGGGGGGGCGCACGCCUCCACUUGGCCGCCUCCUCCUGUCUUCCACUAGGGCCCAUGAAGGCCAUUAACCCCCCGGGGGGUUCCAGUAACCCCCCGGUAGUCCAGAAAAUGCCGGAACCUAUCUGAAACCUUUCCGGUGUCCAAACAUAACCUUCCAAUAUAUCAAUCUUUAUGUCUCGACCAUUUCGAGACUCCUCGUCAUGUCCGCGAUCACAUCCGGGACUCCGAACAACCUUUGGUACAUCAAAACACAUAACUCACAAUACAUCUCGUCAUCGAACGUUAAGCGUGCGGACCCUACGGGUUCGAGAACUAUGUAGAGAUGACCGAGACCCAUCUCCGGUCAAUAACCAAUAGCGGAACCUAGAUGUUCAUAUUGGCUCUGACAUAUUCUACGAAGAUCUUUAUCGGUCAAACCGCAUAACAACAUACGUUGUUCCCUUUGUCAUUGGAAUGUUACUUGCCCGAGAUUCGAUCGUCGGUAUCACUAUACCUAGUUCAAUCUCGUUACCGGCAAGUAUCUUUACUCGUUUCGUAAUGCAUCAUCCCGCAACUAACUCAUUAGUCACAUUGCUUGCGAGGCUUAUAGUGAUGUGCAUUACCGAGAGGGCCCAGAGAUACCUCUCCAACAAUCAGAGUGACAAAUCCUAAUCUCGAUCUGUGCCAACUCAACAAACACCAUCAAAGACACCUGUAGAGCAUCUUUAUAAUCACCCAAUUACGUUGUGAUGUUUGAUAGCACACUAAGUGUUCCUCCGGUAUUCGGGAGCUGCAUAAUCUCAUAGUCACAGGAACAUGUAUAAGUCAUGAAGAAAGCAAUAGCAAUAAACUAAACGAUCAUAGUGCUAAGCUAACGGAUGGGUCAUGUCAAUCACAUCAUUCUCUAAUGAUGUGAUCCCGUUCAUCAAAUGACAACUCAUGUCUAUGGCUAGGAAACUUAACCAUCUUUGAUUAACGAGCUAGUCAAGUAGAGGCAUACUAGUGACACUCUAUUUGUCUAUGUAUUCACACAUGUACUAAGUUUCCGGUUAAUACAAUUCUAGCAUGAAUAAUAAACAUUUAUCAUGAUAUAAGGAAAUAUAAAUAAUAACUUUAUUAUUGCCUCUAAGGCAUAUUUCCUUCAGUCUCCCACUUGCACUAGAGUCAAUAAUCUAGAUUACACAGUAAUGAUUCUAACACCCAUGGAGUCUUGGUGCUUAUCAUGUUUUGCUCGUCAGAGAGGCUUAGUCAACGGGUCUGCAACAUUCAGAUCCGUAUGUAUUUUGCAAAUCUCUAUGUCUCCCUCCUUGACUUGAUCGCGGAUGGAAUUGAAGCGUCUCUUGAUGUGCUUGGUUCUCUUGUGAAAUCUGGAUUCCUUUGCCAAGGCAAUUGCACCAGUAUUGUCACAAAAGAUUUUCAUUGGACCCGAUGUACUAGGUAUGACACCUAGAUCGGAUAUGAACUCCUUCAUCCAGACUCCUUCAUUUGCUUCUUCCGAAGCAGCUAUGUACCCCGCUUCACACGUAGAUCCUGCCACGACGCUUUGCUUAGAACUGCACCAACUGACAGCUCCACCGUUCAAUAUAAAUACGUAUCCAGUUUGUGACUUAGAGUAAUCUGGAUCAGUGUCAAAGCUUGCAUUGACGUAACCAUUUACUACGAGCUCUUUGUCACCUCCAUAAACGAGAAACAUAUCCUUAGUCCUCCUCACGUAUUUCAGGAUGUUCUUGACCGCUAUCCAGUGAUCCACUCCUGGAUUACUUUGGUACCUCCCUGCUAAACUAAUAGCAAGGCACACAUCAGCUCUGGUACACAGCAUUGCAUACAUGAUAGAACCUAUGGCUGAAGCAUAGGGAAUUACUUUCAUUUUCUCUCUAUCUUCUGCAGUGGUCGGGCAUUGAGUCUGACUCAGCUUCACACCUUGUAACACAGGCAAGAACCCUUUCCUUGCUUGAUCCAUUUUGAACUUCUUCAAAACUUUAUCAAGGUAUGUGCUUUGUGAAAGUCCAAUUAAGCGUCUUGAUCUAUCUCUAUAGAUCUUGAUGCCCAAUAUAUAAGCAGCUUCACCGAGGUCUUUCAUUGAAAAACUCUUGUUCGAGUAUCCUUUUAUGCUAUCCAGAAAUUCAGUAUCAUUUCCGAUCAACAAUAUGUCAUCCACAUAUAAUAUCAGAAAUGCUACAGAGCUCCCACUCACUUUCUUCUAAAUACAGGCUUCUCCAAAAGUCUGUAUAAAACCAUAUGCUUUGAUCACACUAUCAAAGCGUAUAUUCCAACUCCGAGAUGCUUGCACCAGUCCAUAAAUGGAUCGCUGGAGCUUGCACACUUUCUUAGCACCUUUUGGAUCGACAAAACCUUCUGGUUGCAUCAUAUACAACUCUUCUUUAAGAUAUCCAUUAAGGAAUGGAGUUUUGACAUCCAUUUGCCAAAUUUCAUAAUCAUAAAAUGCGGCAAUUGCUAACAUGAUUCGGACGGACUUAAGCAUCGCUACGGGUGAGAAGGUCUCAUCGUAGUCAACUCCUUGAACUUGUCGAAAACCUUUUGCAACAAGUCGAGCUUUGUAGACAGUAACAUUACCGUCAGCGUCAGUCUUCUUCUUGAAGAUCCAUUUAUUCUCUAUGGCUUGCCGAUCAUCGGGCAAGUCAACCAAAGUCCACACUUUGUUCUCAUACAUGGACCCCAUCUCAGAUUUCAUGGCUUCAAGCCAUUUCGUGGAAUCUGGGCUCAUCAUCGCUUCCUCAUAGUUUGUAGGUUCGUCAUGGUCAAGUAACAUGACUUCCAUAACAGGAUUACCGUACCACUCUGGUGCGAAUCUUACUCUGGUUGACCUACGAGGUUCGGUAGUAACUUGAUCAGAAGUUUCAUGAUCAUCACCAUUAGCUUCCCCACUAAUUGGUGUAGGAAUCACUGGAACUGAUUUCUGUGAUGAACUACUUUCCAAUAAGGGAGCAGGUACAAUUACCUCAUCAAGUUCUAAUUUCCUCCCACUCACUUCUUUCGAGAGAAACUCCUUCUCUAGAAAGGAUCCAUUCUUAGCAAUGAAUAUCUUGCCUUCGGAUCUGUGAUAGAAGGUGUACCCAACAGUCUCCUUUGGGUAUCCUAUGAAGACACAUUUCUCCGAUUUGGGUUCGAGCUUAUCAGGUUGAAGCUUUUUCACAUAAGCAUCGCAGCCCCAAACUUUAAGAAAUGACAACUUGGGUUUCUUGCCAAACCAAAGUUCAUAUGGUGUCGUCUCAACGGAUUUAGAUGGUGCCCUAUUUAGCGUGAAUGCAGCCGUCUCUAAAGAAUAACCCCAAAACGAUAGCAGUAAAUCAGUAAGAGACAUCAUAGAUCGCACCAUAUCUAAUAAAGUGCGGUUACGACAUUCUGACACACCAUUUCGCUGUGGUGUUCCAGGUGGCGUGAGUUGCAAAACUAUUCCGCAUCGUUUCAAAUGAAGACCAAACUCGUAACUCAAAUAUUCUCCUCCACGACCAUAUCGUAGAAACUUUAUUUUCUUGUUACGAUGAUUUUCCAUUUCACUCUGAAAUUCUUUGAACUUUUAAAAUGUUUCAGACUUAUGUUUCAUCAAGUAGAUAUACCCAUAUCUGCUCAAAUCAUCUGUGGAGGUCAGAAAAUAAUGAUACCCGCCGCGAGCAUCGACACUCAUCGGACCGCAUAUAUCAGUAUGUUUUAUUUCCAACAAGUCUGUUGCUCGCUCCAUUGUUCCGGAGAAUGGAGUCUUAGUCAUCUUUCCCAUGAGGCAUGGUUCGCAAGCAUCAAGUGAUUCCAAAAGCCCAUCAGCAUGGAGUUUCUUCAUGCGCUUUACACCAAUAUGUCCUAAACAGCAGUGCCACAAAUAAGUUGGACUAUCAUUAUUAAACUUAUAUCUUUUGGCUUCAAUACUAUGAAUAUGUGUAUCACUACUAUAGAGAUUCAGUAAAAAUAGACCACUCAUCAAGGGUGCAUGACCAUAAAAGAUAUUACUCAUAUAAAUAGAACAAUCAUUAUUCUCUUAUUUAAAUGAAUAACCGUCUCGCAUCAAACAAGAUCCGGAUAUAAUGUUCAUGCUUAAUGCUGGCACCAAAUAACAAUUAUUCAGGUCUAAAACUAAUCCUGAAGGUAGAUGUAGAGGUAGCAUGCCGAUGGCGAUCACAUCGACUUUGGAACCAUUUCCCACGCGCAUCGUCACCUCGUCCUUAGCCAAUCUUCGCUUAAUCCAUAGCCCCUGUUUCGAGUUGCAAAUAUGAGCAACAGAACCAGUAUCAUAUACCCAGGCGCUCCUACAAGCAUUAGUAAGGUACACAUCAAUAACAUGUAUAUCAAAUAUACCUUUCACUUUGCCAUCCUUCUUAUCCGCCAAAUAUUUGGGGCAGUUCCGCUUCCAGUCACCAAUCCUUUUGUAGUAUAAGCACUCAGUCUCGGGCUUAGGUCCAGACUUGGGUUUCUUCACUUGAGCAGCAACUUGCUUGUUGUUCUUUUUGAAGUUCCCCUUCUUCCCUUUGCCCUUUUUCUUGAAACUGGUGGUCUUGUUGACCAUCAACAUUUGACGCUUCUUCUUGAUUUCUACCUCCGCAGCCUUUAGCAUUGCGAAGAUAUCGGGAAUUGUCUUAUCCAUCCCUUGCAUAUUAUAGUUCAUCACGAAGCUUUUGUAGCUUGGUGGCAGUGAUUGAAGAACUCUGUCAAUGACACUAUCAACCGGAAGAUUAACUCCCAGCUGAGUCAAGUGAUUGUGGUACCCAGACAUUCUGAGUAUAUGCUCACUGAUAGAACUAUUCUCCUCCAUUUUGCAGCUGUAGAACUUAUUGGAGACUUCAUAUCUCUCAAUCUGGGCAUUUGCUUGAAAUAUUAACUUCAAUUCCUGGAACAUCUCAUAUGCUCCAUGACGUUCAAAACGUCGUUGAAGUCCCAGUUCUAAGCCGUAAAGCAUGGCACACUGAACUAUCAAGUAGUCAUCAGCUUUGCUCUGCCAGACGUUCAUAACAUCUGGAGUUGCUCCUGUAGCGGGUUUGGCACCUAGCGGUGCUUCCAGGACGUAAUUCUUCUGUGCAGCAAUGAGGAUAAUCCUCAAGUUAUGGACCCAGUCUGUAUAGUUGUUACCAUCAUCUUUCAACUUAGCUUUCUCUAGGAACGCAUUAAAAUUCAAAGGAACAGUAGCACGGGCCAUUGAUCUACAACAACAUAGACAUGCAAAAUACUAUCAGGUACUAAGUUCAUGAUAAAUUAAAGUUCAAUUAAUCAUAUUACUUAAGAACUCCCACUUAGAUAGACAUCCCUCGAAUCAUCUAAGUGACCACGUGAUCCAAAUCAACUAAACCAUGUCCGAUCAUCAUGUGAGAUGGAGUAGCUUUCAAUGGUGAACAUCACUAUGUUGAUCAUAUCUACUAUAUGAUUCACGCUCGACCUAUCGGUCUCAGUGUUCCGAGGCCAUAUCUGCAUAUGCUAGGCUCGUCAAGUUUAACUCGAGUAUUCUACGUGUGCAAAACUGGCUUGCACCCAUUGUAUGUGAAUGUAGAGCUUAUCACACCCGAUCAUCACGUGGUGUCUCGGCACGACGAACUGUCGCAACGGUGCAUACUCAGGGAGAACACUUAUACCUUGAAAUUUAGUGAGAGAUCAUCUUAUAAUGCUACCGCCGAACUAAGCAAAAUAUGAUGCAUAAAGGAUAAACAUCACAUGCAAUCAAUAUAAGUGAUAUGAUAUGGCCAUCAUCAUCUUGUGCCUUUGAUCUCCAUCUCGAAAGCACCGUCAUGAUUACCAUCGUCACCGGCUUGACACCUUGAUCUCCAUCGAAGCAUCGUUAUCGUAUCACCAACUAUUGCUACUACUACUAUUGCUACCGCUUAGUGAUAAAGUAAAUCAAUUGCAUGGCGAUUGCAUUUCAUACAAUAAAGCGACAACCAUAUGGCUCCUGACAGUUGCCGAUAACUGUUACAAAACAUGACCAUCUCAUACAACAAUUUAUAUAUCAUCAUGUCUUGACCAUAUCACAUCACAGCAAGCCCUGCAAAAACAAGUUAGACGUCUUCUACUUUGUAGUUGCAAGUUUUACGUGGCUGCUAUGGGCUUAGCAAGAACCGUUCUUACCUACACAUCAAAACCACAACGAUUUUUCGUCAAGUGUGCUGUUUUAACCUUCAACAAGGACCGGGCGUAGUCACACUCGAUUCAACUAAAGGUGGAGAAACAGACACCCACUAGCCACCUGUGUGCGAAGCACGGCGGUAGAACCAGUCUCAUGAACACAGUCAUGUAAUGUCGGUCUGGGCCGCUUCAUCCAACAAUACCGCCGAAUCAAAGUAUGACAUGCUGGUAAGCAGUAUGACUAUUAUCGCCCACAACUCUUUGUGUUCUACUCGUGCAUAUGACAUCUACGCAUAGAACUAGCUUGGAUGCCACUGUUGGGGAACGUAGUAUUUCAAAAAAAAAUCCUACGAUCAUGCAAGAUCUAUCUAGGAGAAGCAUAGCAACGAGCGGGGAGAGUGUGUCCACGUACCCUCGUAGACCGAAAGCGGAAGCGUUAAGUAACGCGGUUGAUGUAGUCGAACGUCUUCGCGAUCCAACCGAUCAAGUACCGAACGCACGGCACCUCCACGAUCUGCACACGUACAGCUCGGUGACGUCCCUCGAACUCUUGAUCCAGCUGAGGCCGAGGGAGAGUUUCGUCAGCACGACGGCGUGGUGAUGGUGAUGAUGAAGUUACCGGCGCAGGGCUUCGCCUAAGCACUACGACGAUAUGACCGAGGUGUGUUUCUGUGGAGGGGGGCACCGCACACGGCUAAGAGAUCAACUUGUGUGUCUAUGGGUGCUACCUCUUGAGCAUGCGUUGGUUUUCCCUUGAAGAGGAAAGGGUGAUGCAGCAAAGUAGCGUAAGUAUUUCCCUCAGUUUUUGAGAACCAAGGUAUCAAUCCAGUAGGAGGCCACACGCAAGUCCCUCGUACCUACACAAACAAAUAAGAACCUUGCAACCAACGCGAUAAAGGGGUUGUCAAUCCCUUCACGGCCACUUGCAAAAGUGAAAUCUGAUAGAGAUGAUAAGAUAAUAUUUUUGGUAUUUUUAUGAUAAAGAUUGAAAGUAAAGAUUGCAAAAUAAACGGCGACAGAAAUAGCUUGUUGACGGGAGAUUAAUAUGAUGGAAAAUAGACCCCGGGGCCAUAGGUUUCACUAGUGGCUUCUCUCAAGAUAGCAUAAGUAUUACGGUGGGUGAACAAAUUACUAUCGAGCAAUUGAUAGAAAAGUGCAUAAUUAUGAGAGUAUCUAGGCAUGAUCAUGUAUAUAGGCAUCACGUCCGCAACAAGUAGACCGACUCCUGCCUGCAUCUACUACUAUUACUCCACACAUCGACCGCUAUCCAACAUGCAUCUAGAGUAUUAAGUUCAUAAGAACAGAGUAACACAUUAGGCAAGAUGACAUGAUGUAGAGGGACAAACUCAAGCAAUAUGAUAUAAAUCCCAUCUUUUUAUCCUCGAUGGCAACAAUACAAUACGUGUCGUUUCCCCUUCUGUCACUGGGAUCGAGCAACGUAAGAUUGAACCCAAAGCUAAGCACUUCUCCCAUUGCAAGAAAGAUCAAUCUAGUAGGCCAAACCAAACUGAUAAUUCGAAUAGACUUGCAAAGAUAACCAAUCAUACAUAAAAGAAUUCGGAGAAGAUUCAAAUAUUGUUCAUAGAUAAUCUUGAUCAUAAACCCACAAUUCAUCGGAUCUCGACAAACACACCGCAAAAGAGUUACAUCGAAUAGAUCUCCAAGAAGAACGAGGAGAACUUUGUAUUGAGAUCCAAAGAGAGAGAAGAAGCCAUCUAACUAAUAACUAUGGACCCAAAGGUUUGUGGUAAACUACUCACACAUCAUCGGAGAGGCUAUGGUGUUGAUGUAGAAGCCCUCCGUGAUCGAUGCCCCCUCCGGCAGAGCGCCGGAAAAGGCCCCAAGAUGGGAUCUCACGGGUACAGAAGGUUGCGGCGGUGGAAAUAGGGUUUCGUGGUGCUCCUUGAUGGUUUCGGGGUACGUAGGUAUAUAUAGGAGGAAGAAGUAGGUCAGUGGAGCCACAAGGGGCCCACGAGGGUGGAGGGCGUGCCCAGGGGGGUAGGCGCGCCCUCCUUCCUCGUGGCCUCCUCAUUAAUUUAUUGACAUCCACUGCAAGUCCUCUGGAUCACGUUUGUUCCAAAAAUCACGCUCCCGAAGGUUUCAUUCCAUUUGGACUCCGUUUGAUAUUCCUUUUCUGCGAAACACUGAAAUAGGCAAAAAAACAGCAAUUUGCACUGGGCCUUGGGUUAAUAGGUUAGUCCCAAAAAUAAUAUAGAAGUGUAUAAUAAAGCCCAUUAAACAUCCAAAACAUAAUAUAUAAUAGCAUGGAGCAAUAACAAAUUAUAGAUACGUUGGAGACGUAUCAAGCAUCCCCAAGCUUAAUUCCUGCUCGUCCUCGAGUAGGUAAAUGAUAAAAACAGAAUUUUUGAUGUGUAAUUCUACUUAGCAUAUUCUUCAGUGUAAUUUUGUUUAUUGUGGCAUGAAUGUUCAGAUCCGAAAGAUUCAAGAUAAAAGUUAAUGUUGACAUAAAAAUAAUAAUACUUGAAGCAUACUAACCAAGCAAUUAUGUCUUCUCAAAAUAACAUAGCCAAAGAAAGCUCAUCCCUACAAAAUCAUAUAGUUUGGCCAUGCUUCAUUUUCGUCACACAAGAUGCUCUCAUCAUGCACAACCCCGAUGACAAGCCAAGCAAUUGUUUCAUACUUUAGUAAUCUCAAACUUUUUUCAACUUUGACGCAAUACAUGAGCGUGAGCCAUGGAUAUAUCACUAUGGGUGGAAUAUAAUAUGAUGAUGGGGGUUGUGUGUAAAAGACAAAAAAGGAGAAAGUCUCACAUUGACGCGGCUAAUCAACGGGCUAGGGAGAUGCCCAUCAAUUGAUGUCAAUGCAAGGAGUAGGGAUUGCCAUGCAACGGAUGCACUAGAGCUAUAAAUGUAUGAAAGCUCAACAAAAGAAACUAAGUGGGUGUGCAUCCAAAUUGCUUGAUCAUGAAGACCUAGGGCAUUUGAGGAAGCCCAUUGUUGGAAUAUACAAGCCAAGUUAUAUAAUGAAAAAUUCCCACUAGUAUAUGAAAGUGACAAAACAAGAGACUCUCUAUCAUAAAGAUCAUGGUGCUACUUUGAAGCACAAGUGUGGAAAAAAAGGAUAGUAGCAUUGUCCCUUUUUUUUCUCUUUUUUUUUCUUUUUUUGGUCCUUUUUUAUUUGGCCUUUCUCUUUUUUUUAUUUGGGACAAUGCUCUAUUAAUGAUGAUCAUCACACUUCUAUUUAUUUACAACUCGAUGAUUACAACUCGAUACUAGAACAAGUAUGACUCUAUAUGAAUGCCUUCGGCGGUGUACCGGGAAGGGCAAUGAAUCAAGAGUGACAUGUAUGAAAUAAUAUCCAUGGUGGCUUUGCCACAAAUACGAUGUCAACUACAUGAUCAUGCAAGGCAAUAUGACAAUGAUGAAGCGUGUCAUAAUAAACGGAACGGUGGAAAGUUGCAUGGCAAUAUAUCUCGGAAUGGCUAUGGAAAUGCCAUAAUAGGUAGGUAGGGUGGCUGUUUUGAGGAAGAUAUAAGGAGGUUUAUGUGUGAUAGAGCGUAUCGUAUCACGGGGUUUGGAUGCACCGGUGAAGUUUGCACCAACUCUCGAGGUGAGAAAGGGCAAUGCACGGUACCGAAGAGGCUAGCAAUGAUGGAAGGUUGAGAGUGCGUAUAAUCCAUGGACUCAACAUUAGUCAUAAAGAACUCACAUACUUAUUGUAAAAAUAUAGAAGUCAUCAAAAAUCAAGCACUACACGCAUGCUCCUAGGGGGAUAGAUUGGUAGGAAAAGACCAUCGCUCGUCCCCGACCGCCACGCAUAAGGAUGACAAUCAAAGAACACCUCAUGUUUAAAAUUUGUCACACAACAUUUACCAUACGUGCAUGCUACGGGACUUGCAAACUUCAACACAAGUAUUUCUCAAAUUCACAACUAAUCAACUAGCACAACUUUAAUAUUACCACCUUUAUAUCUCAAAACAACUAUCAAGUAUCAAACUUCUCUUAGUAUUCAAUGCACUUUAAAGUUGUUAUCUUGGAUGCCUAUCAUAUUAGGACUAAUUUUAUAACCAAAGUAAAUUACCAUGCUGUCCUAAAGGACUCUCAAAAUAAUAUAAGUGAAUCAUGAGAGAUCAAUAAUUUCUAUAAAAUAAAACCACCACCAUGCUCCAAAAGAUAUAAGUGAAGCACUAGAGCAAAAUUGUUUAGCUCAAAAGAUAUAAGUGAAGCACAUAGAGUAUUCUAAUAAAUUCUGAAUAAUGUGUGUCUCUCUCAAAAGGUGUGUACAUCAAGGAUGAUUGUGGUGAACUAAAAAAGCAAAGACUCAAAUCAUACAAGACGCUCCAAGAAAAACACAUAUCAUGUGGUGAAUAAAAAUAUAGCUCCAAGUAAAGUUACCGAUGGACGAAGACAAAAGAGGGGAUGCCUUCUGGGGCAUCCCCAAGCUUAGGCUUUUGGGUUGUCCUUAGAUUUUACCUUGGGGUUCCUUGGGCAUCCCCAAGCUUAGGCUCUUGCCACUCCUUGUUCCAUAAUCCAUCAAAUCUUUACCCAAAACUUGAAAACUUCACAACACAAAACUUAACAGAAAAUCUCGUGAGCUCCGUUAGCGAAAGAAAAAAAAACACCACUUCAAGGUACUGUAAUGAACUCAUUCUUUAUCUAUAUUGGUGUUAAAACUACUGUAUUCUAACUUCUCUAUGGUUCAUAACCUCCGAUACUAGCCAUAGAUUCAUCAAAAUAAGCAAACAACACAGGAAAAACAGAAUCUGUCAAAAACAGAUCAGUCUGUAGUAAUCUGUACCUAACGCAAACUUCUGGAACUCCAAAAAUUCUAAAAUAAAUUUCUGGACGUGAGGAAUUUAUCUAUUAAUCAUCUGCAAAAAUAAUCAACUAAAUAGCACUCUCCAGUAAAAAGUUGUAACUAAUCUCGUGAGCACUAAAGUUUCUGUUUUUUACAGCAAGAUCAAAAAGACUUCACCCAAGUCUUCCCAAAGGUUCUACUUGGCACAAACACUAAAUAAAACACAAAAACACAUCUAACCAGAAUCUAGAUGGAUUAUUUAUUCCUAAACAGAACCAAAAAUCAAGAAACAAAAAUAAAAUUGGGUUGCCUCCCAACAAGCGCUAUCGUUUAACGCCCCUAGCUAGGCAUAAAGGCAAGGAUAGAUCUAGGUCUUGCCAUCUUU
rnacentral:lncRNA from 1 species